CUCCAUUAUGUGAAUGAAAUUUCAAACAAAGCAAAAAUCUGUGCAAAUGGCAAAAACUUGCAUUACAUAUGAGAAAAAAAUCGAGUAACAAAAUAUCAUCGACACACAAACAUUGAACGAAGAAAUCCUAAAAUAGAAUCAAAUUAGAACAUAGAUUUGAAAGAUAAAUAUCACAUUACUGAGUGAUGAGGUAAUUCCUGAAGUGAUGCAGUGAUGAAGAUUUCUAUCUUUUGUAUAAAGGAGACAUAUACAUCUUUAAGAAAGUCCAACAAUGUAUCUAAGAAUUUAUAUUGUUGACUUAAACAUAAAUUUUCUAGUACAAUUUGCAAGGAGUUUUACAUAUUUGACAAAACUUCAAAAAUUGUAUGACCAGCUAAAUAAACGAUUCCCUUUUUUGCAAUGAGUUUCGCCAUUAAUGAUAACCGAUGUUUCUUUUUAUCAUUAGGCUCAUCGUUUUCAUCUUCAAAAUAAUGGGAUCAAACACACUUGAAAGUAAGUUCGUAUAAUACUCAAAAUCAUGUUGUUCUACAAUCACAUUGUCGUCAAGCCACAGUAAGACCGAAUCAAUUGUGUUAUCGAUCACUUCCUUGUCUUCUAACGAAAGCUUCAUCAUAAUCUCCUUAUCGUUUAUGGCAUUCCUCAUGUUAUAUGCACACUUCUCCAAUGCAUUUCUUGUUUCUACCUUCUUCCUAUACAUCUUGUCUUCAUCCUUGUACUUCUCAGCUUCUUCGAUCAUCCUCUCAAUCUCUUCUUUUGACAGCCUUCCCUUGUCAUUUCUUAUUGUCACAUUCUUUUUUACUCCGAGAAAUUUUUCGGUGGCAGAGACAUGCAAGAUGCCGUCAUUAUCAAUUUGGAAACUGACCAUGAUUUGAGGUAUACCUGCCGGAGCUGGGGGAAUUUCCAAAACAAAUUUUCCUAGCAAGUUGUUCCCCAUAGUUAUUUUUCUUUCACCCUCGUAAACAUGAAUCAAAAUAUUGGUUUGGUUAUGAAGAUGUGUUGUGAAUACUUGUUCCAUGCUGGUAGGAAUUAAGGUAUUCCUAGGAAUCAUUGUUGACAUGAUUCCCCCAUGUUUCUCCAAUCCAAGGGAUAAAGGAAUGACCUCCCUCGAUCGCAAAACGCUAACCUUUUCACUAAAAUCACCAUUCAAUAUUGAUGCAUGGACAGCAGCACCACAUGCAAUAGCUUCAUCUGCAUUUAUGCUUUUGCAUAACUCCUUUCCUUCAAAGAAAUCACUCAAUAUUUGUUGUACUUUUACAAUCCUCGUAGACCCGCCAACAAGGACAACAUCAUGAAUACUACUCUUGUCCAACCCGCUAUCUAUUAGACACUUUUCCGCAAUCUCCAUACACUUGUUGAAGUGAUUAUUGUUGACUUCUUCAAACUUUGCUCGACUAAUCGGUGAGAAGAAAUCUAUCCCUUGAUGCAAACAUUCUAUCUCAAUUGUGGUCUCAGUAUUACUGGAAAGUAUCCUCUUUGCUUUCUCACAUGCAGACUUCAACCGUCUAAGGGCUUUUCGAUCUCCACUAAUGUCAAUUUUAUGCUUCCUCAAGAACUCUUUCACGAAAUGGUUCACCAUUGUGUUAUCAAAGUCUUGUCCCCCGAGGUGAGUAUCUCCAGCAGUGGCUUUAGUGGUGAUUCCAUUCUUAUCGAAUGUGAGAAUAGACACAUCCAAUGUACCACCUCCUAAAUCAAAAACAAAAACAUGUUUAUGGUCAUGAUUAAACGGUUUCUUGUCAAGACCAUAUGCAAUUGCAGCUGCUGUAGGCUCGUUGAUUAUUCGCAUAACGUUGAGACCUGCAAUAACACCUGCAUCUCUAGUAGCUUGGCGUUGCGAGUCAUUAAAGUAAGCAGGAACAGUUAUAACGACAUCCUUCACUGUUGAUCCAAGGUAAACUUCUGCAAUCUCACGAAUUUUUGUCAAUACCAUUGAUGAUAUUUCCUCAGCAGCAAAAUGUUUUUCCUCUCCAUUGUAAUUGACAACAAUAUUGGGUUUGUCAUUUAUGCCACCAAUUACUUUAAAUGGCCACAAUUUCAUAUCACUCUGAACUAUAGGGUCACUAAAUUCUCUACCAAUGAGCCUCUUCGCAUCUACAAAAUCACGAAAAAUAACAGAAAACAAUCAAGAGUUAUAUGAACUGUCUGGAAAAAAUUAUGAUAAAUAACAAAACAAUCACCAUAUUUUUUUAAAAAAUUAGGUCAAAUGCAUCUAAAGAUCUUUAAAUUUUUCGUUUUUCCCAAAGUCAUCCUUUAAGUUUCAAAAGUCCUAAAGUGGUCCUGUAAGUUUCAAAAGUCCCAAAUAAGUCCUUUUAAUUUUUUAAUCGUUUCAAACAAGUCAUUUUAGAGGAUGAUGGUGAUGAUUCAGAUGAUAGCAACAAAGAGCAUUAUCCAUCAUUUGUUAUGUCUAAAAAGAUGACUAAUUUUAAGUGGGUGUUAGGAGCCAGAUUUGGUACCAAAGAUGAGUUCAAAGGAAGCAAUUACCAUCUAUGCUAUCUACGAUAGGACUUGUUUGAAACGAUUCAAAAACUAAAAGGACUUAUUUAGGACUUUUGAAACUUAAAAGGACCACUUUGGGAAACCUAAAAAAAUAGGACUUUUGAAACCUUAAAAUUAUGAUAAAUUUACAAUCUAAAGAUCUUUAAAUUUUUUUUUUUUUGAAAGAUCUAUAUUAGAUAUGCCUUAAAAAUGUUCUAAAAAUUGUAAGAAUCCACUUUAACUUUUUUGGAGUUCAUAUUCAAGAAAGCCUAAAAGAUGUAGUAAUUAAGUUUAGAAGCAUUUACCAUAAACAGUGUUGGUUGGGUUGCAAGCAGCCAUGUUGAAAGCAGGAUCACCAAUCAUUCUUUGAGAGUCAGUGAAUGCAACAUAAGAAGGUGUUGUUCUAUUCCCUUGGUCGUUCACUAUCAUCUCAACCCUAUCAUUCCUCCACACUGCAGCACAAGAAUAAGUUGUUCCUAAGUCGAUUCCUAUUGCAACUUUCUCACCUUUUCCUGGCAUUUCUUUCUUUGCAAUCACUCACAGGUAACAAAGUUUUGAGAAGGAAAUAUUCAAUGAUGAGAAUAAAUCAUUGUUUGACUUGCUUGGAUAAAUGUAAAGGUUUGUGCAUAUUUAUAAUAUUAUUAGUCUCACUAGCACAAAGAAUGAAUCGUUGGUUGACUUGUAAAAUUUCUUACUUUUGGUCAACAUCGAUAAUAGGGUUAUGCUUUAAAGUAUUUCAACUCUCAAGCUUAAAACACGGAUAAAACACUCAUUUCAAAAGAACUCUAAACAAUCUCUCAACAUUUAAGUGAAUAACAAAAGUUUAGCAUUUUUUUUAGAUAGACGAAAUGACAAAGGUAUCAUAAAUUUACACAUAUAAAGUGGAGACGUCGUUAUAACGUCCGGCCAAACAAUUUCAACACUUUUUGCCUGUUGAACUAUGACGUAUGUGACACAAAAGUUUAAUUUUUUUUUUUUUGGGUUAAGAAAAGUUUAGUAUUCUACUAAUUGAUAAAUGAGAGAUGCUAAAAUUAUUCAAUUAAUAAUACUCGUUCUGUCUCAAAUUAUAAAUUUAAAAAAAAAAUUGUUUUAAAUUAUAAAUUGUUUUACAAUACCAAUAUGACAUUAAUUUAAUUUUUCAAACUAUACUUUAAAGUUUAAACUACUCAUUAAGCUUUCUUAUAUCUAAUCUUUAAUUUAUCUUUUUCAUACUAUUUCUCUGAGGAACAAAUGAGUCUACAAGAAUUAUUGUAUUUAGUUAUAAUAUAGACUAAAUACAUCAACCUUUAUUAAUCUAUUUUUUCUUAUAAAAAGAGCCAAAGAGAGUGUUUAUUAAGGAGAUUAUUGGAAAGUCUUCUAAUUUCUGUUUUAUAUACAAUAUUGAUUGCUUUUUUUUUUUUUUUUUUAUGUUGUAAAUUGGUUGAAACAAUUUAGAAUUUGGGACGAGGGACUAAUUAAACUUACUUUAUAAAGUGAUCAUGAAGACCUUUUCAAAGCAACAAGGAAAUACACUCUCUUUUUUUUCUUGGUGUUUAUACUUUAUACUCAAGUAGUCAAGUUGACACUUACGUCAUUAAAUGUGACUCAGUCAACCAAUAAACAUUUAAUUAAAAAAGUCUGGCCCAGUUGCCUUCAUCCAACAAUUUUUUUUUUAAGAACACAACUUCUUAUUUUUGAAAUAAAAAAAAAUGAAAUUUUUUCUUAGUACAAACAAUCAACCCACACACUGUUCAAUCCAACCCCACACUGCCGGCAGCUUUAUUGCUAUCUCUACCUACUUUUUAUAAAUUGAUUAAACAGUGACCACCGUCUUGUUCAAUGCUCCUUCAGAUACACGAUCAAUGAUCCACUGUUUGAUCAUUUCGUACAUAAAUAUAGUUGGGUUUAAUCGUUAAAAUUAACCAUGCAAUAUACGUGAUAUAUGAAAAAUGGUACAGUAAGAUACACAAUAUGUAUUCAAACAUUGUUAUUUAAUAAGUAGAGUAUCGUAUCCACAGAGAUUGUCCUUUCGUCUGAAUAAUUAUUGUUAAUUAUUUUUGUAAGUUUGACGGUAUAAAAGUUAGGUUGCAAUUUUUAUCUGUUUGCAACAGAGCGAACUUACCUGUUUUUGGUUGCAAAAAAAGUAAGAAGCGGUUAGGAUUCUUCGAAUCCCCUCUGUAUAUUUGUUGUUUGAUAAUAAGUAAUAUAAAUUUCGCGUUUAUUUAUUUUAGGUAGAUUAUAGAAGUGAUGAGAUCAUUGGGAGUUCCUACUUAGGUAAGGCACGACCACCUGACCCAAUGGGCAUCAUCCAUUAGGUACCUAAUUAGGCCUAACCCUCCGAUGGCUAACUGCACCUGCUGAUCGCACGGUGAUCCUUACGUGCGGGGUCUUGUAAUUCAAAGGUAAUUGAAACAUAAACUUUAUAUUGGUUUUCCAGUGUUUCCCAAAGCAAUGAAGGCCAAGGUUCCCUUAGGUCUGUCCAUCUAUGUAUCUUAUGACACUCAUAGCACACGCUCUUUAUACUUUCUUAGUAAUUCUACAAACGAACAACCCUAAUAUAUUAGGUUAUAGCUUUAAGUCGGACAUCUAAGUGCUUGUUUCCCUAAUUACUAACCAUUUAAUUCCUAACUUCGGUAAGGCACCACCCGACCCAAUGGGUAUCAUCCAUUGGAUACCUACGUCUAGGGUCAACAAUUCCUAUGGUAUCUUUGUCAUUUUUAGGUCUUUGUCUUCAAAUAACUUGCCUCGGUACUUUGGAAACAAAAUUCCUCCCAUUUGUAAGUCCUAUGAGACCUCUUGAAUCUUCUUUCUUGUUUCUUGAAUCUUCACAAUUCUUCGGAUGUUCUUGAUGUGCCGAUUUGCAUGAUUUAUUCAUGAAUUACUUCAAAAGCAACCUAAAAUUGCUUUUUUUCGUAAAAAACUAGAAUUUACAGACUCAAAUAUAGAAAACAUUACAAAAGUCUCGAAAUCAUAUGCAAUCAUUCUAAUAAUCCUCCUUUUUGCUACUAAAUCCUACUAAAAUAAACUGAAAAACAUGCUAAGAAUAAUGUAAGAAGACCUAUCAUAAGCGACCACCGUGGGGCAAGGAUCAAACGAUAAUCAAGUACCAUGGGUUCGAAGUGGGAUGCUGAGAAGUUUACCAGAGAUAAUGAUUUUGGGUUAUGGAAGGUAAAGAUGGAACCAGUGUUAAUACAGCAAAAGUGUGAGAAAGCUUUGAAGGGUGAAGGUGUGUUACCGGUCACGAUGUCACAAACGUAAAGACCGAGAUGGUGGACAAGGCUAGGAGUGCCAUUGUCUUGUGCCUCAGGGAUAAAGUUUUGAGAGAUGUAGCAAAGGAAACAACUGCUGCAUCUGUGUGGUCAAAUUACAAAGUGCUUUGGUGGUGUGUUGUUGGUACGAUGAAGAAGGUGAUGUUUCUCACCUUGGGAAUGAUGCCUUAUAGAGCGGUGAUCGUCUAUAGAGACGUUAAACACUCAACAUCAUUCUGGAAAGGCGGUGGGAAGAAUACUCAUGGUUAGUCUGAAGAGGCGGAUGUAAGAAUACUCAUGUUCAACCUUUGAGGUGGAGUUUCAAGGUGAAAGUCAUAGUGGAUGUACGCGUUUGCUAGUUCAGGUAGAGAAAACUCAGCUUGUGGUGGAGUUGAUGACAUCGGGAAUGGUACGACGAUGGAGACCUUGGGUGCUAGGCUCUAGUUGUGAGCAAGAGAAUUCUUCAAGAAGAAGGAAUGCAUUCUAGAGUUUAAAGAAUGUAUGGAAUGACUUAUAGGAUUACCAGAAAAGACCAAGGGUAAUUGGAAGUAAGUGAAUCAUCAAGAAGGCGGAAGGCUUUCCGAUGGUUGAAGUGGUUAUGGUGUAGACUUGUGGAACUACCUAAAAUUCCUAGUGUAGUUGGAUGCAAGGAUGGUCUUCAUGAAGGCGGAAGGCAUUCCGAUGGUUGAAGAGGUUGUGGUGUAGACNAAGGCGGAAGGCAUUCCGAUGGUUGAAGAGGUUGUGGUGUAGACUUCUGGAACUACCUAAAAUUCCUAGUGUAGUUGGAUGCAAGGAUGGUCUUCAAGAACGCCGAAGGCAUUCCAAUGGUUGAAGAGAUUGAGUGGAAGCUUGUGGAGCUACAUGGUGUAGUUGGAAGCAAGGGAAGGUGAAGCAUGGAGAGAGCAACAAGGUGGUUGAUGGUUAAAUUGACAUCAUCACAAAUUUAGAGUUAAGGUGGAGAAUGUUGUAGAAGUGACUCAAAAUUGAAUUUCUACUUGUGCAAAAUCGGCGCCCGAUAUCUCGCUUUAGCAUAAAAAUAAAAUAUAUUUUUAUGGGCUGGAUUUGUUCUAAUUUUAUGCGGGAUACUUUUACUAUAGAUAUAAAUCUUGUAUCAGAGUAAACCUGGAGAAGUAGAGAGCCAGAAAACAAGGGUUUAGAAGCCAACACUAAAACUAGGGUUUUUAGAGUUUACUCUUGACAACAAACUUUAGGGUUGCGACUUGAGAUUGAUUCACCUUGGAGAAACACUAUUAGGAUUGAGUCACUUGGUCACGGGAAGAGAUGGGGACUUUAGGUAGAAUUAUGUUUGAAGACUAAUUAUUGUAACCUCUUUUGAUAUCUCUUUGUAAAGUUACUCGUCAUUAUAUGUUCUCUCAAUUUCAUAAAGAAUACAAAUUACAAAUAAAUCACAUAUGCAAUAAUCUCAUAUCAUUAUUUAAAUCACGUAUAUUAUAAUUUAAGAAACAAAAACCUUGGAGGUUGGGAAACUUUAUUAUGGGCCUCACGCACAAUCCAAUGCGACUAGUACCUUGAGCAACCUCUAAACCGUUAUGCAUAAUCAGUUACGGGUAAAAAGUUAUAGGCUAUCAACUACAUGUAUAUCUGUAAAUGUUAAAUUUUUUGAAAGCAAUAACACAUCAAUUUUUCAUUCUAAACCUUUAUCACAUUCUAUCCAUUCUAAAAUCCUAAUUCCAAAAAUAAAAUGAUCCAUUAUAGUAUGAAUAUAUUCAUUAGAGUCCUAUAAACCAUUUGGAUCCUAAGCAUUAAAAAUAUUAAACCUAAAUAUUCAAAUCAUACCCCGUGGCGGAUUUACAUAGGAGCCCAUGGCUCCCCCAGAUAUCUAAUAAAUAUUAUAUUAGGCAUAUUUCAAUGGUUUCGCAUGUGUCGUAGCAGAAAUUGAAGGCUUUUUGUAUCGUGAGGCCAUGAGUUCGUGGCUCCUUUUUUGGUUUUAAUAAUGCCGUUUUGAUUUUUAUUCACAAAAAGUGUAUCCCAAGAUUUGAACCAGUAACCUUGUGGCAGUUAUUAUGCACAACAACCAUCUAACCCAGACAACAAUUUCUAUCUACUCAUGAAAACGCUUAUCAUAUAUACAUGAUAUGAAUAUUUGGCUCCCCCUAAAAAAUUGGCAUUGAUCAUACCAGUGGCGGACCACUUGAGGACUGGGGAUGGCCAUGGCCUCCCCAUUAUUUUAUAGAAAUUAUCAAAAUACCCUUAGGUUAAAAUGAAAUUUACAACCAUACCCUUGGGUUAAAAUGAAUUUUACAACCAUGCCAUCCCCACUUUUUCUAAUAUUAACAGAGAAGCAUGCCUAGAAUAUGCAGAAGAAGUGGAGAAACUAGCAGAUAAAUUGAUGGAAGUUUGAGGGAUUUGGUAUAAAUUUUGUUUAUGUUGUUGUGCGAAGGGUUGUCUUUGUUUUUGGUGUUUCCUUUUAUUGAUUUCGAAUAUAGCUCUUUGUUAGAUAGUAUUUCCUUUGAGUUUUUUACAUUUUGUCUUUGCUGCACGAGUGCAUGAGUUUACAAUUGGGUGCUCCAUAUUUACUUUAAAAAAAAAAAAAUUCCCUUUUACAUCCUUAGAGUCAUGAUUAAGUGAUUAGAGGCAAAAUUGAGUAAUAGUUUUUAGAUAUAGGCCGUUAUAGUUAUAAUACAAAAACUUAGGAGUUUAUCCCAUUCUUAGUUUACAGGGUACAACAAAUUAUAAUCAUUGAUGACAAGAUUUAAGAGAGCUUAUAUAUUGUUUAAUUUAUUGAAGAAAUAUUUUAUUUCUUAAUUAAAAAUACAAAUUUAUUGUGUAUAAAAUUUGACCGGCUUCGAUCCUCAAUUUAUGUAUGUACAAAAUUUAAUUUAUGAUUUGAUGAACCUUCACAAUGUCAUUGUUUAUUAAGCAUAAGUGGAAAAGAAACUAAGAAAAAAAUUUACACCUUUUUUCCGUAACUAUCAGACCUUUUAUUCCACUACAAUAGAUAAAUAUGCAAUAUUUGGGAAAAAUUUUAAAUUUUCACACAGUAUAAAAUUACAAGAUCUUAGUAUCUUAAAUUCAUAUAAACAAAUUAUUAUACAAGAUCUUAUAUGUUAAUUUUGGUUGCGGUUAUGGUGCAUAAGGAAUCCAUAAAUGGUUUCCGUGAGUUGUACUCCAAAACCAUUAUAUGUACUUAAUGGUUUCCAGCAUCUUGCAUAAAUCAUAAUAUAUUUUGUAUAAAAUUAUGCAAAAACCAUUUUGUUGUGGAAAUAAUUUCUGUGAGUUGUACUCCAAAACCAUUUCUGAAUUUAUGUAGGUGCAUAAGGAUUUCCUUAUACACCAAAACCGCACCCGUUAAUUUUCACACAGUAUAAAAUUACAAGAUCUUGGUACUUUAAAUUCAUAUAAAACUUGAUUCAACCUUUUUUUUAGUCUAUCAAUAAAGAUUAGCUAGCAUAUACAUAGAGAUACAAAAAAAAUUGUUAACAAAAAUGCAAAUUCUUCUGUAAUAAAAAUUCAUAUCAACAUCUCAUUAUAAAUAAACAACGUUUGUUGCUUCUCUCGUAUAUUGGAAGUUUUCACAGAAGUCUCUCUUUUGGUUUUCUCUUUCGUUGGUGAAGAUCACUAACGAAGAAGCUUGAAGUGAUUUUGGGGAAAUAUUAUUACAUCAUUUUGGUCAAAUAAUAGUUUACAAGUGAAACACAUAAAUAUGGUCUAGAUUAAGCUUUUCUAUUAAUGUUUUUCCAUUUUAUUAAUCUAAUUUAAGCUUAUAGUAAAAAAAAUUGUAUGGGUCUUUAAAUUUCCUAUAGAAAAUCCAUACCACUUUUUGAAAAAUGAUUCAUUCCAGGCAUGCACAGGAGUACCAUAAACUCUAAUCCAGGUGCCCCUUUCAUAUAUAUCAUCCUCAUGCGACCAUUUAUGCAAGUCCGAGAACAACAUACCGAAAAAGUGGAGAGCUUCAUUAAACACUUUCCAUAUAUCAUCACCCCCGGUACAUCAUUCACCCUUUGUUGUAAGGAUAACUAUGAAUCUCCGUUCACCACCUUUAACACCAUACUACCAUUAGCCCACAAGCGAUCCUCCGGUUUUGAAUUAUACAAGAGCAUACCAAGAUUCUCAACAGGUCGCGGAAUAUCACUAUCCUUCACCUUCUCCACCUUCGAAAUCCACACCUGCUUCCUUUCCUCCACCUUCUUCCCUUCCUCCACUCUAUUCUCAUCCUUCUUUCCCACCUCUCCCUCAGCUUCACAUUCCUUUUCUUUUUUAAUUUUUAAUUUUUUCGACUUAUUUUUUUUCUUCCUCUUCCCUACAUGAACAUCCACCGUUGCAAUCCUCUCAAUUUUUUUCUCCUGCCUAUCUCUUUCCUCACCCUCCAUCUUACCCACCCUCACAUUUUUUACACCAUUGCCAUGAGUUAGCACCACCGGUGUAACCACCCCAUCCUUCCCAUCACCACGCCUAGAAACCCUAACCUCCUCAUCAUGUUGCGCGAACCUAUCAAACCUAGCAUUUGGAGCCCAAACUCGAAAAUCACCAAUCGAGAUAUUAUUCAAAGCGUGUUCUAAUUUGUCUCUAUUCUUCACAUACUCAAAUCUAACGAGACCAUAGACCUGACUGCAUGAAUUGAGUUGUCUGGCAAUAUAAACAUCGGACAAAAUACCACAUACCUCGAAAAAUUGCCGUAAACGGAACACUGGCAUAGCUUCUGGAAUAUUAGUAAAGUAAAAUGUAACCUUUGUGCCUUCGUAUCGAUUAUUUACGUCCAAAACAAUACCAUGCUGCACCAGUGCACCGUGCCUGUCAGUUUCCUUAAGUCCUUCUGUGUGUGCAAAUCGACAAUCAUGCCAAACCCUAGAGUACCAUCAUGAAUCCAUUUCGACCUCCCCAUAUGCGAAUCGAAUCUUCAAUGCAGCGCUGAAACCCUUGACCUGUCCCGUCCUCGAUCCUCCGGUUGCGUCGCUUUCCUCUUCCUAGACCUAACUACAGACCAAUCACUCCUAUCCCCCCAAUAUUUGCCACCCAGGCUGGACCCCUAUCCCCCCAAUGUAUCUCUCCUCUGGAGAUAAGCUCCGGCGCAGUUGCCACGGAACAAACGUAGGCCGGCCACCACGAAAGCUCACGUCGCUCUCUCUCAUUUGUUUUUUCCUUUAUCAUGUUCUUAGUUUAGAGGGUAUAAAAAAAUUCAGUAGGAAAGGUACAACAUGAAAUAUCAAAAUCAUUGAUGACAAGAUUUAAGAGAACUUAUAUAUUUUUAAUUUAUUAAAGAAAGAUUUUAUUUCUCAUUUAAACAUUUCAAUUUAUAUAGCAUAAAAUUAACUUAGGAUCUAAUUAUUGUGUACAAAAUCUGACCGGCUUCGAUUCUCAAUUUAUGCAUGUACAAAAUUUUACUUAUGAUUUUAACAAAGUUGUUUGGGCCUCAGUGACAAGAAGCUCAUUCCAAGGACAUACCCGGGAAAUACCGAGUUCGAUUCGCAGUGGAAACAACGUUUGACCAGUGCGCAUGCCUCUACGCAUGAGUCAGAUUAGUUGUCCAACUUUGGUGGGUCGGAGACCGGUGCGAAAACCAAAAAAAAAAAAUUAAUUUAUGAUUUUACGAACCUUCACAGUGUCGUUGUUUAUUAAGCAUAAGCGGAAAAGAAACAAAGAAAUUUUUGUACACCUUUUUUCCACUGACAAUGAAUAAAUAUGCUAUAAUGAGUUAUUAAAAAUAAUCAGGCAAAGAUUAUAAUUUUCACACAAUAUAAAAUUACAAGAUCUUAGUAUCUUAAAUUCAUAUAAACAAAUUAUUACAUUGAAGAGCUUUAAAUUCAUAUAUAAAACAUCAUUCAACCUUUUUUCAGUCUAUCAAUAAAGAUUAGCUAGCAUAUACAUAGAGAUACAAAGUUUUUUGUAAACAAAAAUGCAAAUUCUUCCUUCAUUAAUGAAUAUAUACAUUGUAAGUUUUCACACAAGUCUCUCUUUUGGUUUUCUCAUGACUAUAUUGAAUAAGAGACCUAAUGUGAAGAUCACCAACGAAGAAGCCUAAGGAGAUCAUUUCUUCUCAUUCGACUCAAAGUGAUUAGCGAAACUUAAAUUGUAUAUGCUGAACUAUUUCAUCUUGGUGGUCGAUCAUUGGGAUCUAAUGAAAAUCACCAAAUAUUGCUUAGUUACCCUUUGCCUCGACUUAGACUUCACAAAUAUUAGAAAUGCAAUAGCUCUUUCUUUUGCCAUUAAGUCUUGCCAUCAACUAAAGAAUCUACAAAUUUAUAGAAAUAUUACAAGGAUAUGUUAUAUAUAUACCUGACAUCUAUGUAAAUGUGAAUUUACUGGUCCAAAAUUCAGACUUACAAUAUAAUAUUUAAUCAAAAAAAUCACACUUGUUUAAAGAUUUACGGUACUUAUUGCUUUGAUAAACAAUUGAGAAAAAUAUAACAAAGAAGGAAAACAAAUAUAUGUUUUCACCAAAGAUUAAUUGAUGUUGAUUUUGAUGAUAAAAUUAGUAUCAUUUACUAAAUCACCCUUAUUAAUUAUAGUUAGUGAAGUAGUUAAGUUGGAUGAAGUUCAAUAAAUAAGGGUAUUAUAAUGAAAAAAAUAAUAAAUGCUGCAUUGGUAGUCUAAAGUGACAAUUUUUUUGAGAAAAAGAAAAAUGGGUAAAAAGACAAUUAUUGUGAGAUGGAGGGAGUAUUAUUUUGGGCAAAUCUUAUUUAUAAAAGGUCUUAAGUUGUCUUAAACAGCUUUUUGGAGCCAAAAUUUGAGGUUAAUUUUGUCAUUUUAAUAUUGACGUCUCAUUAUUAUUAUUAUUUAAUAUAUAUUUAAGCAAUUGAACAAACUUUUGCUAAAUUUAAUAUUGACAUCUCAUUAUUAUUAUUAUUAUUAUUUAACAUAUAUUUAAGCAAUUGAACAAACAUUUGCUAACUUUGUGCCAUAAACUACUAAAUACGUUUUUUUUUCUUCCAUAAUCUUAGUUUGUUAUUUGGUAGUGCUAUUUUCUCUAUUUAUUUGGCAAUAUAAACACCGAUCCCCAUAUGUUUUUUUUUUUUGUUUUUGUUAACUAUGUUUUUCUAAACAAACUUUUGCAAAAAAAAAAAUUCUCAUUAAAUUUAUACCACUAAAGAAAAGAAAAAAUCUCAUCUAACGUUUGUCUUUGGUAACUAACUCUGUCUACAUAUGUGCCACUUUAUGCCAAACUAAUCAUCUCUCAACUCUCUAAAUAAGUAACAUCAAAUAGUAUUUAUAAGUCACUUCAUCCUUCAUCCUUCGAUUAAAUCAUCUUACUUCAAAUUAAUCGUACGUCCUAUUUUUUUGAUUAAACCAAGUUGCUUAUAAAUCCCAACAUUGAAGAAUGUUGCACCUACAAGAAAGGGUAUGCACUAACCUAUCGUUAUUACACAUAUAUUAUAUAUUGAUAAUUAUUGGAAUUUUGGGAUAGAAUGGAAACUGGCAAUGCAUCUUUGACCUAAGGGGUCACCCAAAUGACAUCACAAUCUUCACUUUCUCUUCAUAAUAAUCUUAGUUUGUUUUCCAUUAAUUGUUUGGAUACAACUAUAUAAAAUGAAUUAUCUUAUUUAUAAUUGCUUCAAUAUUUUGAUUCUUAUUUUGGGAAAAAAUUUUAGAUUCUUAUUUUGGGAAAUUUUUUUAGAUUCUAUUUUUUGUUACAAAUUGUAACAUAGAUUCUAUUUUUUGUUACAAAUUGUAACAAUUGGAUGCACACUUUUAAAAUUGAUUUUUUUUUUACUUCUUAAAAAGUCUAUAACAAAUAGACUCAUCAAAAUAGAAUCUAACCUUUUUUUUUUUCUCUUCAUAAUAAUCUUAGUUUGAUUUCCACUAACUUUCCUAAUUUGUUGACCUACCCUCAUCUAUUGUUUGUUUUUGUUAAGUAACUUUUCCUAGAUAUGUGGCACUUUAUGCCAAACUAAUCCACUCUCUCUCUCUCUCUCUCUCUCUCUAUAUAUAUAAGUGGUCGUCUUGGGUGGUGAUUUCAGGCAAAUUCUUCCGGUCAUUCCAAGAGCACCAAGACAUGAUGUUGUUGAUGCUAUCAUUAAUUCAUCGCGCCUUUGUAAACAUUGUCGAGUCUUAAAAUUGACCAAAAUCAUGAGGCUUCAAAUUGGAUCUUCAUGUUCUGAUGUCAAUGAACUCAAAGAGUUCUCUGACUGGAUUUUAAAUGUUGGAGAUGGAAAUAUUGAAGACAACAAUGAUGGUGAAGCUGAAAUUGAAAUACCAGAUGACAUGUUGAUCAAGAACUCAGGUGACCCAAUUUCUUCAAUUGUUAAUAGCACAUAUCCAUCACUUUUGGAGAAUAUGAGUGAUAUUUCAUUUUUUUAAGAUAGGGCAAUUUUAGCACCUACCAAUGAUAAUUCACUGAACAAUUACAUUUUAUAGAUGAUUCCUGGUGAGAAAAAAAAACAUACUUAAAUGUUGAUAGUCCGUCUACACAUGAUGAAAAUAUUAAUGGUCCUGAUCAGAUUCUCACUCUAGAAUUUUUGAACACCGUCAAAUCUUCAGGUUUGCCAAACCAUGAGUUAAAUCUCAAGGUUGGAGUUCCAAUUAUGUUAUUGAGAAAUAUUGAUUAGCCGUUAAGAUUAUGCAAUGGUACGUGCCUUAUAAUUACGCAAAUGGAGAAUUUCGUACUUGAGGCAAAGAUAAUAUCAGGAAACAGUAUUGGAUAAAAGGUAUAUAUCCCAAGAUUGAGUUUGUCUCCAUCUCCAUCUCCAUCUGAUACAAAACUUCCUCUCACGUUUCAACGUAAACAGUUUCCUAUUAUGGUCUCAUUUACGAUGACUAUCAAUAAGAGUCAAGGACAAUUUCUUAAAAAUGUUGGAAUAUAUCUUCCAAAACCCAUAUUUUCACACGGACAGUUAUAUGUUGCUCUUUCACGCGUUACUUCACGUGAUGGGCUGAAGAUGCUGAUUUGCAAUGACGAAGGACGUGUCUCCAACAAAACUAAUAAUGUUGUCUACAAAGAAGUCUUUCAAAAUUUAAGAUAGAUAAUUUACACAUAUACAUAUAUUCGUAUAUAUAUUCUAUUUGUUUAUUGUUGUGCGCAUCUAGCUAUGUUUUUCAAAGCACUUUUAUUUAAAAUAAUGCCUUUCUUUCGAUCUAUAUAUAUAUAUAUAUAUAUAUAUAUAUAUAUAUAUAUAUGUGUGUGUGUGUGUGUGUCUGUGUGUAGACGCACGCAUAGACGCACAUGCGUGUGUAAGAAAUAAUAUUUAGAAUUUUGUUGUUGACAAAAAAGUCAAAACUUAUCAACUAAAUUCUUUUCACAUAUUAACAAUAUGUUAUGCAUUUUUCUUAUACUUUUUUUUAUAUAUUGUUAUGUAAUUUGUAUUUCUCUUUAUACCUUCUACCAUUUAAAACAAUCGUGUAUAAUCAUACAAAUUUAUUUUAUUUCAUGUCAGGUUUAUCAUCAUCUUUAUGAUGAAUUUUUGAUUUGGAAUCACCAAAAGUCAUGGACACAAAAAUGAGUUUUACUGAUUCAAUUGUUGAGAAUUGACACGUCUUUAUCAUCCAUAAAUUUGUAUAUUAUUACUCAAAACAAACUUAUAUUAGUAGUUGCAUUUGGUUAUUUUUAUUUGUCUAUCCGAUGUGAUAACGAGAAUUCUAAAUUACUUCAAGUUUUUAUUGGUUUUAUUUUGGACACGUUAAUUCAUGCUCACUUAUGUUGGAACAAAGUGUGUUUCACAAUGAACCUUAAUGAGUUUUGAUGAUAACAAGGUAUUAAAAAUUGUCAAUUGGUUAUUUCUAAUAAUUGUUCAAGUGUACAGGACCAAAGGCUAGUCAAGUAAUUUCAAUAGGUCUUGGAAGAACAAUAGAAAGCAAAAGAAUUCUAAGCAUUUGAAGAAAACUGCGUCUGAAGCUUAAAGUGCUUCUGAAGCUGAAGUGCUUCUGAAGUGAUGAUGUCAUCAGAAGCAGAAGCUCAUCAGAUGCAGAAGGUCAUCAGAAGCAAGGUUUUCAUCAGAAGCGAAAUCAACACCAGAAGCUACAUAUAAUCCGUAAAUUCAAACUGAAGAUCCAAAGUAGCUGUUUCUCAUUUCAACCUUAUCUAAGAAGAACGAAGAAUUGAAAGGGAGGUAUCAACGGUCAUUUGGAUAGCACUGAGUAUUUGUCCUUCGUUAACAGAGUUGACAAAGUACAAGUGUACAACCACUACCUCCACUACUCUAUUUUUGUCCACGCUACAAGACAAGACAACAGCUAUGCCUGCAGAAUUUGUGCCUUCAAGAUGGGAAUGAAUUUGAAGCUAAUUCUUCAAAGGACUACACCCAAAUCAGGCAAAGGAUUACUGGUGAAUGAUCAAAGGAUUUCAAAUGACUCUUUAGACGUGCUAAUUAUCUCAACGUCUCUUUCACGCCUCUAUAUAAAGGAGUGAAGACUUGAAGAUUGUAGAUAGUGAUACAUAAGUUAAAAAGCGCCAAAACUCUGUCAAUUUGAUUCUACAAAGCACACUGAAUUUCUGCACUGAUUUGAUACAUCUUAGAAAUUCAAAAGUCUAGAGUCUUUAACGUAUUGUAUUGUGAACACCACUGAUUGUAUAUCAAGUGUUCAAGUCAAACUUAAUUCUUUGUAUUUUUGUUUGAUAAGAAGACUCUUGCGUGUGUGCUUGAGCAUUUUUGUGAAGUCUCAUACUUAGAGAGUAUUAAGCAUUUGUAAUCUUUGUGAUUAUAGUGAAAUCUCCUUGGAAGUGCAAGGGGGACUGGACUACUUCCGUGUUGUGGAAGGAACCAGGAUAACUGCUUGUCUUUGUCUUUCUUUUCUCUGCUCUGAUCCUUUCCGCUGCACAUCUGAUUCUGAUCAUUUCAUCAGAAGCAUUCACAAACUGCUUCUGAAGUCUUAUCAGAAGAAGAAUUUUUAGAGAGAAAAAGAAAACACAAUUCAACCCCCCCUUCUUGUGUUUUUCUCACCUUCAACUUACAACUAUUAUUGUUUCAUUUACGAUUACCUUAUUUAUUAAUCAAUGUCAUAUCUAACUUCCCGUGCAUCGCAUGGGUCUAAAACUAGUAAUAGUUUAAAAGUAAAACACAUAAAUAUGGUUUAGAUUAAGCUUUUCUGACUCUACCAAAAAAAAAAUAAGUUUUUCUGUCCUCGUGAGCUUAACUCAGUUAACUUGGAUAAUACAUAAUAUAUUUAAGGUUCGGGGUUCGAACUCCGACCACCACAAAAAAAUAUUAAGCUUUUCUAUUAAUUUAUUUUCCAUUUUAUUAAUUUAAUUUUAGCUUAUAUACAAAAAAAAAAUUGUGUGGUAAAAAUUACUUAAAAUUUAAACAAUUUAUGUUGAAUACUAAUUCGCGUACUAAAGUGGGUAUCUUUAAAUUUUCUAUAGCUUACUUGGAACAAUUUUAUCAUCAUUACAUGAAUUUCAUAUGAUAAACAUUGACUUACGAAAUUUAAUCUAAAAUGCUUAUAAUGAUCAUGAAAACAUGGGUAAGGCUACGGUAGGAGACCUAUACCGUGAGAGAGCUUUUUUUUUUUCUUCCUUUACAAAAUGAAUAUGGAUCCUAGGAUUUAGUUUAUUCAAUUGAAUGGUAAUGAUUUACAGUAGAGGUGACCUAAUUAAAUGAAGAUGAUUUUUUUCACAGAUUCUAUAUAACUUUUUCUGGGUUGAAAUUGGGAAACUCAAUAGUCAUCUCCAUCCCACAAAUCCUCAUACCCGAAUUCAAAGCAAACUACAUAGUCAUCAUGAAACACAGAAAUCCCUAAGUCAUGAAAUUCUCAAAUGUUAUAUGUCCCCAGUUUAUUUAAAUCACGAAUUUGUCAAACCCACAAAUUAUGAAGUUGGAAAUGUCUAUGAGAAGGGAAGAAGAAGAGAAAAAAGCAAUGAAUUGAAACUUGUUAACGAAAAAUUGAAACUUGUGAUGUGUGUGGGUUAUGGUGUUUUUGAUGUGCAACAACAAUGGUGGAUGUGGAAGAGGUUAGAGAUGAAGCUGGUGAUAGAAUGGUAGCCUUGGGAUUAUGUAAAAAAGUGUUAAAAAAUUAAAAUCUUUAAGCAAAAUUAAACAAAUUUUAAUUUAUAGGGACUAAAACAUGUCAAUUUUGUUUUUCUUGAGGUCUAAAAACAAUAUUUAAUAUAUUUAUCGGGACUAAAAACUUAUUUUACUUUUGUUGUGUAUUGACCAUUCGACUAAUAAUAUUCAAUUAUUUAAAAAAAAAACUCAUAAUAUAUUCUUAUAAACGUGAAUGUAUUUUCAACUUCCUCGUUAUAUUUUUCUAAAGAAAAAAAUGAAGUCAUUAUAUUAAUGGUGUUCAAAGGAAUAGCAACGAUGUUGUAAUCAUUACAGAUCUGAUGGGAAAAUAAUUUUUUUUUAUUUAAGAGGAUAUUCCAAGAUUGUCUUGCCGUUAAAUGAAUAAUUUAAAUAGAAUUUACCUACAACAAUAAGUUACCAAAGUACAACCACCACCAAACACAAGUUAUUUUAAUAGCAAAACUUUCGUAUAGUCUCCUACCAUAGAAAACCUAUUCACAUCUCCUACCUUAAACGGCACCAUGAAAACAUGUUUUAUUCUUCAUAUUUAGCUUUGAUUAAUUUUUUUAUUGAUAAAAAUGACUGAAAUAAAUUAAGAGAUGUUUACAACUAAAUGUAAUCAUCACGCUAGCCAAUCGGAAAGGAUUGUGAUUUGUUUGACCACCAUGUAUUCAGUCGGCGAUUAGGGCUGGGGAAAGUCCGGAACAGUUAUAAACCAUUAAGAAGUUUGUAAAGAAUGCAUUAAACAUUUACAUUACUAUUAAAUUUUAUAUAGGCAUAGUUCAUCAACAUAAUUUGAUUCAUCUUAACUAUAGCAACUGUUAUGUGAAAUAUGGUUGUGUUGCUUCAAGACGACAUUCUUAAAUUUAAGAAUUCUCAUUUUAUAAGGUGUUUUUUUUUUUUUUUGACAAUCAGACAUGCAUUUCAUAUAUUAGAAAGCAAAUCAGUACAAACAGCUGAAGCUGCAGGUUCAGGAACAUAUCCCACCCAAGAACAGGAUCCAAAUUGUUUUGCCAUGCCAACAAGACAAUGUGCAACAACAUUCUUAGACCUUUUAACAGAGACUACAUUACAAUUGGGAAGCUUAGAGAGAAUAUCACUACAAAAAUAACAUUAUCUACAUCAGCUAAAAGGUUACGACCUUUGAGGCAGUUCACUGUUACUUCUGAGUCCGAUUCAAUGAUGAAUUUACCCUCUUGGUUUGUUGUUAGGAUCCACUGGAGACACCAUCUAAGCGCUAAAGCCUCAGCCAGGUUAGGAGACAAUUGCCUCUUUUCCAACUUUGUUGCCGCAAAUUCCACUGCACCUCUAUUGUCCCUAAUCACCAUUCCGGACCCAACAGAUUCGUCCUUGAAACAUGCAGCAUCCACAUUCAAUUGUAACGCACCCGAUGGGGGAGGAGACCAGCUAGCAGGGGAAUUAAUCACCCGGCUAACAGCUGCUACUGUGAUGUUAGCAGCAUUAAACUCAUAGAUGAAAUCCACAGCAGACAACACUAUUUGGAUCGGGUUAAAUUGCUGAUGUUGAAAUAGUAAUUGGUUCCUUCCUUGCCAUAUCUUCCAUAGAGUAAUGCCAAAAAUCUGCGCAGCUAGGUGAUCUUUCUUAUUUAACCAAUCAGACAUCCAUAAUUUUAAACAACAAUGGGAUGGAACAUGAAGGCCUAGAGUUAAAGAGAAACAUGUUUGUUGGGAAAAUCUGCAACACAUAAACAGGUGUUCUGGAGUUUCCUCCUCUUCAAAACAGAGGGGGCAAAUAGUAUCAUUAAGCACACCUUUUCUUCGCAAUCUGCUCCUUGUUGGUAGAAUGUCUUUGGCCAACCUCCAGAGAAAAUUCUGAACACUAGGAGGAGCUUUCAUCCUUCAAAUCGCUUUCCAAAGUUCUUGAUCAUUUGAGGAUGAAGCUUCUGGACACUCCUUUGAAUCAGUCUCUUUGAUGAGAUGAUGGGCUGACCUCACUGAAUAUCUACCAUUCUUCUCCUAGUGCCAAAUUCUUUUGUCUGCAGGCAAUCUCCAAGAUAAUGGAAUAUUGAGAAUCUGUUUCGCUUCAAAAGGUGAGAAUACAUUUCUGAUAAGGUCCCUCUUCCAAAUUUUAGUUUCAGUAUCUAUCAGCUCACUAACACGCGCUUCAGCAGCCAAAAACACAUUGGGGCUACAAAUUUUGAAACCAGCCUGGUUCGAUAACACUUUUUGACCAUCACCUAUAGACCAUCUAGCUCCCUUUUCAAUCACAUUUUUAGCGCUGAACAUACUCCUCCAUGCAUAACUGGGUUGAUAACCAAUUGAAGCAUCCAUGAAUUCGGUUAUGGGAAAGUAACGACUUUUGAAAAUUCUGGUUAGCAAAGAUUCUUGGUUACUAAUCAUUCUCCAACACUGUUUCCCCAGAAGAGUGCUGUUGAAAUCACCAAGGCCUCUAAAACCCAUGCCACCUCUGUCUUUGUUUUUGCCCAGUCUAUCCCAACUAAGCCAGCGAAUCUUCCUUUGUUUUUCAUCAGUACCCCACUAGAAUUUGGCUAACAUUGCUUCAAUAUCAUCACAACACCAAACCGGGAAUUUAUAACAACUCAUAGUGUAUGUUGGAAUCGCUUGGGCAACAGCUUUAAUAAGAGUUUCCUUACCAGCUCUAGAGAGACAUUUUUCUUUCCAUCCCUUAAUCUUUUUCCAAACCCGAUCCUUGACAAAAGAGAAAAUCUCUUUUUUUGAUCUACCAAAAAUCACAGGUAAACCAAGGUAUGUUGAAUGAGAUGUCACAACCUUUACAUCAAUCCUAUCACAGAUCAUAUUUUUCUCAAUUUCAGACAUAUUUCGGCUAUAUGACACUUCAGAUUUUUCCAAGCUUACCGUCUGACCCGAAGCAAUUUGGUAUGAAUGAAGGACAUGUUUGAUUGUGUCUGCUUCCUUCUGAUUAGCUCUGGAAAAUAGGAGACUAUCAUCUGCGAAAAAAAGAUGAGUUAUCUUUGGGGCACCCCUAGCAAUCUGCAGCCCAUGGAUAUUUUUGCUUUGUGCUUCUUUAUGCAACAUACCAGACAGAACAUUAGCGCAUAAAAUGAAAGCAUAGGGGGAUAUAGGAUCACCUUGGCGGAUUCCUCUUUUCGAGAUGAUGUUUCUGGGCUGCCCGUUGAUAAGGAAUUGAUAGGACACUGUGGAUAUGCAUUUCAUAAUUGUAGAAGUAAACUGUUGAGGAAAACCAGUUGCCAAAAGAGCUUUUUCUAUGAAACCCCAUUCCAUCUUGUCGUAUGCUUUAGCCAUGUCAAGCUUUAAGGCCAUCAUAGCCUUCUUCCCUUUUGUCUUCUUUUUUAACCAAUGAAAACACUCCAUAGCAAUGAGAGCAUUAUCUGUAAUGAGUUGCCCUGUCACAAAGGCACUUUGUUCUUCAUCAACCACAUCCGGGAGGAUCAAUUUGAUUUUGUUUGCAACGGUUUUGGUUACUAUUUUCAGAAGUUUUAACUCAACUGACCAAAUGCCAAAAUUGUUAAGCCGGAUGCCAUGACCGGGGUUCGAAUCCCGGUACAUCCACUUGUGUGUGUGAGUUUACAAUAGCUUUGCCUUUUCGUCUAUUUAUAAAAAAAAAUUGUAAAAAUGUGCAUCAAAAUCUUCAUUUAUUCCUUGCUUAUUAUCACUAACUAUUUUUUCUAAAACCUCUUAUCAAUAAGAAAAUUGAGUUAUUUAUAAUCAUAAGGUAACUUUUAAUACUUUUAAUUUUUAUUUAAUUAUAGACAUUAUUACAUUAAAGGUCAUUUAUUUUUUUUUUUUGUUACACUUAGGUCUUUUAUCUCUUAUAAAAGCACAUAUACAUCUUUUUUCGCAUUUUUUUUAUUAAAAAAAAUACAUAAUUUUAUUUUUUAAAAUAUUUUUUUAUUAAAAAUGAAACAAAUCCAGAAAUAUGAUGAAGAUGUUCAUCAUCUUCAUCUUCUUCCUUUGAAUCUUCAUCAUCUUCAUUGAAUCAAAAAAAUUUCUACACAAAUAUAUCUCCAAAUAUCAUGAAUGUUAUAUUCACCACAAAUCUUCUUUUAAACACAAAAAUCAAAACCUAUAGAGAAAGAGAUUUAGUUUCAUCACAAAAAAAAAGAUUUAGUUAUAUAAAUUGUCACGCUUUAUAUUAUUAUUAUUAUUAUUAUUAUUAUUAUUAUUAUUAUUAUUAUUAUUAUUAUUAUUAUUAUUAUUAUUAUUAUUUUCUAACUCAAUAUUCAAGUCCGGCAUAAAAAUAACCUCAAAAUUGAGAGCAGCUUUGCACAUCAAUUUUGUUGUUUCCAGAACAAUCUUAAAUUUCGUAAAGUAUAACCCUUCCGCCAGUGACUAAGCCUCCACCAUCUGCCUUGCAACAUUUGUGAAAUUAAGGUUUUGAUUUUUGUGUUUAAAAGAAGACUUGAGGUGAAUAUAAGAUUAUUUCACGAUAUUUGGAGAUAUAUUUUAGUAGAAUUUUUUAUUUUAUUUAAAGAAGAUGAUGAAGAUUCAAAGGAAGAAGAUGAAGAUGAUGAACAUCUUCAUCAUAUUUUUGGAUUUUUUUUCAGUUUUAAUGAAAAUAUAUUUUUAAAAAUAAAAUUAUGUAUUUUUUGAUAAAAAAAAAUGCGAAAAAAGAUGCAUAUGUGCUUUUAAGAGAGAUAAAGGAUCUAAACGGGAAAAAAUAAAGAUAAAUGACCUAAACGGGAAAAAAUAAAGAUAAAGGACCAAAGUGUUACAAAUAAAUAAGAUAAAGGACCCAUAAUGUAAAAUUAUAUUUAGGUGUUCAAUUUUAAUUAAUUUACACUACAUGACUGUCUUAGAACAAUUAAAAUUUCACAUCAAAUUUCUUUCAUCUGAAUGUCCUUAAAUUUAUCAGUUAUAUUCAUAAAAUUUCUUCUUACCAUUUUGAUUGUUUAAUUUUGUCGUUCCCAACUGCCGCACUUUUCAAUUUUCGUGAGAAUCAUCGUCAUUCGUUUGAUUUUAAAUAUCGUGAGAAUUGCCUUUAUUUCCAGUACCACAUCAGGUAUGGUGACUUGAUUUUUCUUUUUGAUUUGAUUUUUCUUGGUUCUGAGGUAGUUAAUUAUAACAAUUGAGUAAGUCAUCCGUUGUACUUUGAGGACUGCUAGCAGGUGUUGCCGCUGUGAUGUUGUGGGAGUUUGCUAGCAUUUUUUUGGUUGCUGCUGAAAUGGUUAUGUAAUGAGGCUUUUGUUCUUUUGUUUGGACUUAAAGACUUUUGCUGAUAGUGAGGCAGGUCUAUGCGUAUUAACAUAUUUUAUUAGGUUGGGUGCUUAAAUAAAAAAAAUAAGUCACGAUACCUGACGCGGUUCUAGAAACAACGACAAUUCUCACUAUAAUUGGAAAUUGCGGCAGUUUGGAACGACAAAAUUGAACAAUCAAAAUGGGAAGAAGAAGAAAUUUGAUCAAUAUGGAAGAAUAGAGAAGAAGAAAUUUGAAUGAAUGAGAUGUUUUUGUUCUCACGUUCGGUGUUCUGGAAUCGAAGAAAUUUUAUGAAUGUAAAUGAUGAAUUUAAGGACAUCCAGAUGAAAGAAAUUUGAUGUAAAAUUUUAUUUGUUAUAAGUCUUGUAGUGUAAAUUAAUUAAGAUUGAACACCUUAACAUAAAAAAUUAAAUUAAAUCAUUUUCUGUUUCAAAAAAAAAAUUAAAUAAAAAUUAAAGUAUUAAAAGUUACCUUAAGAUUAAGAUUAACUUUCCUUAAAAAAAAUAAAUUAAGAUUAACUCUUUUAUUUUUAGAAAAAAUCUACUCAUUUAUUUGACAUUUAAUAUUAUCUAUGUAUAUUACAUUUUGAUUGGUUGAUAUCAUGAGAGGCUAAAUUACCCUUUAAAUAAGAAAGGGUAACGUAGCCCUCACCGUUAAUGUACCAUAUUAAGCAAGUUGCAAAGAGGGAAAAGAUUAACCUUGACAUAUAUACAGAAGUCAUAUACAUUUAUAAGCACGUUGAACAAAUUAUCAUAUAGUUGACAUUGUCACCUUAAACUUGAAAUUUUACAAUACAAUUUGAAUGAAGUUUUAAUCUUUUUUUACAAAGUCAACAAUGAGUUGAGAGGCUAGCCCGGUGAUGUUAGUUGUUGCAGCUGCAUGGACUAUAAUGAAAGAAUAUUUUAGUAAAGUUUGUUUCCAAUGAUUCUUUUUAUUCUUUACUGCAUUCCCAACCAUAAUACCCUCUUGCACACCAUGCCUCUCAUCAUUUAUCUUCUUCACUAUAACUGCAUCAAAUACACUUGAAAGAAUGCUCGUAUAAUACUCAAAUUGUUCUUGUUCCGCAAUCACGUUAACAUCGAGCCACGUAAAGACCAAAUCAAGUGCAUUAUUGAUCUUUUCCUUUUCUUUUGACGAAAGCAUCAAACUAAUAUCCUUAUCAUUUAUAGCAUUCCUCAUGUUGUAUGCAUACGUCUCUAGUACAACUCUCGCUUCUACCUUCUUCAUAUACCUCUUGUCUUCAUCUUUGUACUUCUCAGCUUCUUUGAUCUUCCUCUCAAUAUCCUCCUUUGACAACCUUCCCUUGUCACUUAUUAUUUUAACCUUCUUAUUAACUCCAAGGGACUUUUCCGUGCUACAAACGUCUAAGAUGCCAUCAUCAUCGAUUUGGAAGCUGAUUUUAAUCUGAGGAACACCUGCCGGAGCCGGAGGAAUUUCCAAAACAAAUUUUCCAAGCAAGUUGUUUUCCCUAGUUAUUUUCCUCUCACCUUCAUAAACAUGAAUUAGAAUAUUCAUUUGGUUGUGCAAAUGUGUGGUGAAUACAUGUUCCAUUUUGGCAGGAAUUUUGGUAUUCCUAGGGAUUAUUGUGUUCAUAAUCCCCCCAUGAGUCUCCAAUCCAAGGGACAAAGGAAUGACCUCCGACAAUUGUAAAUCUUUCUCACUACACUCACCACUCAAUAUAGAAGCAUGGACAGCAGCGCCAUAUGCCACCGCCUCAUCGACAUUGAUGCUUUUGCAUAAAAGCUUCCCCCCGAAGAAAUCACUCACCAUUUGUUGCACUUUUACAAUCCUGGUAGAGCCACCAACAAGGACAACAUCAUGAAUGCUACUCUUGUCCAUCCCACUAUCAAUUAUACACUUUUCCACAAUCUCCAUGCACUUGUCGAAGUGAUUCUUGUUGAGUUCCUCAAACUUUGCACGACUAAUCGAUGAGUAGAAAUCUAUACCUUGAUUUAAACUCUCUAUCUGAAUGGUGGUUGUAAUAUUGGAAGAAAGUAUCCUUUUUGCUUUCUCGCAAGCAGACUUCAACCUCCUAAGGGCUCUUGGAUCUCCACUAAUGUCGAUUUUAUACUUCCUCGAGAACUCAUUCACAAAAUGGUUCACCAUUGUAUUAUCAAAGUCUUGUCCCCCAAGGUGAGUGUCUCCUGCAAUCGCCUUAACAUUGAUAGCACCUUUCUCAAAUGUGAGAAUGGACACGUCCAAAGUACCACCUCCUAAAUCAAAAAUGAAAACAUGUUUACAUCCAUGAUUAAAAGGUUUCAUGUCAAGACCAUAUGCAAUUGCAGCUGCAGAAGGCUCAUUGAUUAUUCGCAUAACAUUGAGGCCAGCAAUAACACCCGCAUCUUGGGUGGACUGGCGUUGUGAGUCAUUAAAGUAAGCAGGCACAGUUAUAACAACAUCCUUCACUGUUGAUCCAAGGUAAACUUCAGCUAUCUCGGCCAUUUUUGCCAAUACCAUCGAUGAGAUUUCUUCAGCAGCAAAAUGCUUUUCCUCGUCUUUAUAGUUAACAACAAUCAUGGGUUUGUCAUUGAGGUUGCCAAUUACUUUGAAGGGCCACGACUUCAUAUCACUUUGUACGAUUGAGUCGCAAAACUUCCUACCAAUUAGCCUCUUUGCAUCUACAAAACAAACAAAAGAGUUGAGUACACUAUGAGAAAAAAUGAUGUACCAUUUUCUUUGCAUUUGAAUAAAUCUGUAUGUAUAAAUAGGAUAACUCUAAUAUAUCUUUGAAUAUGAAAAAUUGUUAUAUAUCAAUUAUGAAUCAAAUUACACUGAUGUAACAUGUAUCGUUACAUCACUAAAUAACUUUUUAUUGGAUAUAUUUUCAUUACAAAAUUUAUAGCUGGAUUAAAAAUUAUUUUGCAUAUAAUACAUCUAUAAAAUCAUUUGAAAUAUAAUAUACAGAUGGUUUAAAAUUAUUUCCAUAUCAAGUUCAGUUGGUUCCAAACCCAGCUUGUAUCCAAAAGAGUUAAUAUAUGUUUACCUGAUGUAAUAUUAGCGGUUUCUGAUUACCCCAUAUAAAAAGAAUUAGAUUCAAACUCUGUAAUUUGAAGAUUGUUUGGAUUUAGAUUUUUAUGAAUUUUGAUCGUACAAAAUCGAUAAAAUGACAGUGAUAAACAAAAAUUCGUUCAAAAUACAGAGUGUGAAAGUACCUUAAAUAUUGAAAUUUGAUGUCAUAAAAUAAAAAAACUAAAGAAUCUUCAAAUUAACAGAGUUGAAAUCUAAAAAAGAAACUUUACAGAAAGUAAACCAAAAACCGUUAAUAUUACAUAGACCCUAUCGAAAAUAAGAAUUUUAACUAAAGAAAUAACAUAAAUAGGAUAAGUUUCAUGCAUUAAAAUAUCAUAUAUAGUUGGCUCAUCAAACAUUAAAAUCAAGGAAAAACAUGAUAGUUUAUCUUAGAGUAUUGUUGUUCACACAUUUGGUUUGGCUGAGAAAUACGAGUAAUUUUCCUUAAUACCCUUCGGCAGUUAACCAUCGAAAUUUUAAAGAAUCGGCUGCAGUUAACUGCUGAGGAAAACUUCAGUAGUUAACUGUCGAGGAAAACUUCGAUAGUUAACUGCCGAGGAAUUUCAAACCUGAAAUUAAAUAAGGAAAUGCACCUAAAUUUUCCCUUAAUUAAAUUUAAUUCUUUACUACAUGAUUUUUUUUAUAAUGUUGUUGAUUUCAUUCAUAUAAUUUUGUUGCCAUAAAUGAAGAAAUAUGAGAUCCUAGAACUACAUAUUCGAUCAUGUUUCUUACUAGUAAUAGAAAAGAGGUUUUAUUUCUAAAAAAAAAAAAAAGAGGUUUUAUUAAUAGAAUGAAUAAUUACAAAUGUAAUUAUUUGAAAGAGAGAUGAAUAAUAUCUAAAAUAUUAUAAAGUAGAGUAAAUAGUCAAUUUCCCCCCUGAAAUUGUAAGUUUCAUCAAUUACCCUCCUGAAAUUAACAAAACUUCAAUUACCCCCCCUGAAAUUUCACAACGUUAUAAAAAUUAAUAUUAUUUUUUCCAAAAACAAACAAUUAAUAGUUAAAUAUUAAAACUAACUAUUAAUUUUGGAAUUUGGGAAAACUACAUGCAUAUAUACAUCAAAAUAGGCUCCAAAAUGGGAAAAAAAAAAUGUAUUUUUUAAAGUGACAAUAAUGGGAUGAUUUGUGGAUUAAUAUUGGGGGUUGUGUAGUUUAAAUGAUUUGAGAAAAUUGUUGAAGGAGUUUGAGGAGUUAAAAUAUUACGAUGGUGAAGGAGAACAUAUAAAUUUAAAUCUGAUUAUUAAUUUGUUUAUAAACCUCUAAAAAUAAUAAUUUUUCUAUUAGAAAUAACCAUUAUUGUCACUUUAAAAAUACACAUUUUUCCCUAUUUUGAUGUAUAUAUGUAUGUAGUUUUUCCAAACUCCAAAAUUAAUAGUUAGCUUUAAAUUUAACUAUUAAUUGUUUGUUUUUAAGAAAAAAAUAAUAUAAAUUUUUAAGUUUGGGGGGCAUUUUGCACAUAAGUGCAAAACUUUAGGAGGGUAUUUGCAAAACGUCAUUUCACUAACAGAAAAAUUUGACGGAGGGGGUAAAUUGACUAACGUUGUGAAAUUUCAGGGGGAUAAUUGAAGUUUUGUUAAUUUCAGGGGGGUAAUUGAUGAAACUUACGAUUUCAGAGAGGAAAUUAAUUAUUUACUCUAUAAAGUAAUAAUAGGUUAGUCAAACCUAUAAAUAAUGACAUACAUCAAUGAAAUUAAUUACAAAUAUAAUUAUUCUAUCAUUUAUAAUGUUUUUUGUUGUUGCAUUUUUUUUAUUGAAUCACCAUUUUAGGUCCAUUAAUUACCGAUGACGAACAUUUUUAUUUUUUGUUGUUGCGUUUUUCAUGUUAAUUAAAGUAAUAAUAUCUGAAAUAUUAGUAUAAAGUAAUAAUAGGUUAGUCAAAUCUAUGAAUAAUGACAAACAUCAAUGAAAUUAAUUACUAAUAAUUUCAAAUAUAAUUAUUCUAUCAUUUGUAACGUUUUUGUUGUUGCAUUUUUUUUUUUUAUUGAAUCAUCAUUUUAGGAAUUAUUAACUACCGAUAGUAGAUAUUAUUCAUCUCUCAUAUUUCUUCAUUUAUGGCAACAAAAUCAUAUGAAUGAAAUCAUAAAAAUAAUUAUGUUUAAUUCCUUAAAAGGAUUAAAGAAUUAAAUUUAAUUAAGGAAAAUUUAGGUGUAUUUCCUUAUUUAAUUUCAGGUUUAAAAUUCCUUGGCAGUUAACUGCAGCCGGUACUUUAAUAUUUCGACAUUUAACUCCCGAUGAUCAUUUAAGUAAUUUACUUGUGUUUAUGAGCCAAAACUAAAUGUAUCAAACAACAAUACUCUUUAUCUUAUCAUGUAUCAUUUUAUCCUAAAUAAAAUCAAGAAUAAUUGAGUUUAGAAGCUUUUACCAAAAACAGUGUUGGUUGGGUUGGAUGCAGCCAUAUUGGAAGCAGCAUCACCAAUCAUUCUUUGAGAGUCAGUGAAGGCAACAUAAGAAGGUGUUGUUCUAUUCCCUUGGUCGUUCACUAUUAUCUCUACCUUAUCAUUCUUCCAUACAGCAACACAAGAAUAGGUUGUUCCUAGGUCGAUUCCUAUUGCAACUUUCUCACUUUUUACUGUCAUUUCUCUCUUGCAAGGUCACCCAGGUUUUGAGAACAAAUUGUUGUUUGUUUUGGCUAAUGUAUAAGGUUUUCUUUGAGGGCUUGGCUUAUAAAAAGAAGUACAAUAUGAACUUCUUUGUAAGUUUCGUUGCUGUUUCGGAUUAGUUUUCAUGAUUUUAAGGUUGGUGGUUAUAAUUUUCACAAAUAACUAGUGGAUAAUAAUUUGCUUAAAAACAAAAAACAAGCAGUGGUGCAUAAUUUAAGACAAAAAUAUUUGCAACGACUAGAAGUCAAGCUGACACUUUCCUCGAAAUUGAUUCAGUAAACUCUUAUCAACUGGAGUUUUGCUACUUGCAAGAGUGAAUAUUCUCCUUGGAUAGCAUAUUAAAUCCAUCUAUAUAGGCUAUAACCCUUAUUUAUAAAAUAAAAAGGAAAAAAAUUCAUUAGACGCCAAACUUGCAUUUCAAAAAUCCAUUUUGAUUUUGUGCCUUACCCUAAUAGAACAACCUUUCUUUCCCAUGGAAACGGUUGGGAAUUCCGCCUUUAUUGCGAUCUAUCCCUAGUCGCUUAAAUGCUACAUUUGAGUUGUCUUGUGUUGGCUUUGAGGGGGUGGAUUUAGUCCCAUAUGGGUUGAAUUGGACUAAGUGUAUAGAAGAGGAGGCACUCCAUGCUUUACAAGCCGGUUUUGUCAAGAUGAGUUAGGCUACAAAUUUCUACGGUUCGCAAAUACUCCAGAGUCGGAAGAGCAUUUUUUUUGUAAAGUGUUUUCCCUAGUUAUUUUCCUCUCACCUUCAUAAACAUGAAUUAGAAUAUUCAUUUGGUUGUGCAAAUGUGUGGUGAAUACAUGUUCCAUUUUGGCAGGAAUUUUGGUAUUCCUAGGGAUUAUUGUGUUCAUAAUCCCCCCCGAGUCUCCAAUCCAAGGGACAAAGGAAUGACCUCCGACAAUAGUAAAUCUUGAACCUUCUCACUACGCUCACCACUCAAUAUAGAAGCAUGGACAGCAGCGCCAUAUGCCACUGCCUCAUCGACAUUGAUGCUUUUGCAUAAAAGCUUCCCCCCGAAGAAAUCACUCACCAUUUGUUGCACUUUUACAAUCCUAGUAGAGCCACCAACAAGGACAACAUCAUGAAUGCUACUCUUGUCCAUCCCACUAUCAAUUAUACACUUUUCUACAAUCUCCAUGCACUUGUCGAAGUGAUUCUUGUUGAGUUCCUCAAACUUUGCGCGACUAAUCGAUGAGUAGAAAUCUAUUCCUUGAUUUAAACUCUCUAUCUCAAUGGUGGUCGUAGUAUUGGAAGAAAGUAUCCUUUUUGCUUUCUCGCAAGCAGAGUUCAACCUCCUAAGGGCUCUUGGAUCUCCACUAAUGUCGAUUUUAUACUUCCUCGAGAACUCUUUCACAAAAUGGUUCACCAUUGUAUUAUCAAAGUCUUGUCCCCUAAGGUGAGUGUCUCCUGCAAUCGCCUUAACAUUGAUAGCACCAAUCUCAAAUGUGAGAAUAGACACGUCCAAAGUACCACCACCUAAAUAAAAAAUGAAAACAUGUAUACAUCCAUGAUUAAAAGGUUUCAUGUCAAGACCAUAUGCAAUUGCAUCUGCAGUAGGCUAGUAGAGUCAUUGAUUACUCGCAUAACAUUAAGGCCAACAAUAGCACCCGCAUCUCGAGUAGACUGGCGUACGUUGUGAAACAUUAAAGUAUGUAGGCACAAUUAUAACAACAUCCUUCACUGUUGAUCCAAGGUAAGCUUCAGCAAUCUCGCCCAUUUUUGUCAAUACCAUGGAUGAGAUUUCUUCUGCAGCAAAAUGCUUUUCCUCGUCAUUAUAGUUAACAACAAUCAUGGGUUUGUCAUUGAGUGGUGCAACGGUAUUACAUAGAAAUGUCACCAAGUUGUAACUGGUUUGAAUCUCUCUUGCUGUGUUUUUCAUAAUUUUUUUUAGAAGUAAAAUUAGGGUUGCAAGAUUUAAUAGGAUUUAUAUAUAAAUAUACUAGACUUUUGACCCCUGCGAAGUCUACUAAUAAACACAAACAAACUUAAUAUUCCAAAUAAAAUACUACCUCCGUCCUUAAUUAUAAGAGCCUUUUGAGAAAAAAAUUUGUCCUUUUUUAUAAGACCCUUUUGGUAUUUACAAGUACAUUAAUUAAUUCUUUACCAACGUACCCUUAUUUAUUUUGCAUUUUUUUCUUCAAUCAACAAUAAAUAUUAUGUUGAAAACAUAAAUUAACUCUCUCUCUCUUAAGGAUAAAAUUGUAAAAACAAUAGUAAUUACAUAGAAAUUUAAUACUACAACCAACUUUCUUAAUUUCCGUAAUUUUUGCAAAAAGCUCCUAUAACCAACUUUCUUAAUUUCUUAAUUUUAAUAAGCAAUAAAUUUACCAAUUUCUAUUCUCACUCAUCAAUUCCUGCGGUGAAUACUCCUUUUAAAAAGACAUCAAACUAUAUUUGUUUGAACAAUGCAAAUAACCCAAAAUCCUUCCCAAACAUACAAACUAAUUAAUAUUAUUUAGUCUCAGUGCACAAUCUUUUUUCUUUUUUUUUUUUUUUGCACUUUCUUCUACUAAUAGGAAUAUAAUAUUUGCAUAAAACACAGACAUGCAAUGGACAAAACAUAUUUGAGGUUUACUACAUCAGGAUCUACUUUAUUUGCACAGUUGGAAGCAACAUAUAAAUGAGCCUUCAUAUACAUUAUGCGCAGUAGAAAUAAAUCAAAAGUAUAGCAGAUCUUUCAAAACACAAAACCAUAACCGAAACAGUCAUUAACGGAAACAAAAGGACAACUGACUUGGACAUCAGCAACACAACCGAAACUCCAUAAUCUUUCAAGAGACUUCACUCAUAGGCUUCAACCUUAACAUGCACCAGCUUAGGCUCUUUUGUAACAGAUGCAUCUUCACCAAUCAAAACAAUAUCAUCUAGUGAUUCGACGCUAUCAGCAGAUCGCUUUCCCAAAGAUUUGAUAGUUGGAGUCACAACUGAAUCAAUUGCGGAAACUUCGUCUUUGUUGCUUGAAUUAACCAGCUUUGGCUCUUUUGUAGCAGAUGCAUCAGAACUAAGCACAACAAAAUCAUCAAGUGAUUCCACGCUAUCAGAAGACCACUUUCCCAAAGGUUUGCUAGUUUGAGUCACAGCCGAAUCAGCCGCUGCAACUUCGUUUUUGAUGCAUAUAUAUUUUUCAGUUUGUUGCUGCUAACUACAACCUAUAUAAUUUAAAAAAUCCUAAACUGCAAAAUAAACGAUCGAAACACACAAAAAUAGAUAUUUUUCUAGCAAAACCCAUAUAUAUAUCGGGUGAUAUACACAUUUACAAACAGCAAGUGGAUCCACGUCCCAAUUUAAAGGCCAUAAGAGUCGCGUGGUAACCAUUGAAUGUAACGAGACAUGUUUGUAAACCAAUGUUGUUAAAUAUCGGCCAUGGUCGCGCCUUGAAGGGAUUGCAUUAUUUGAAGAGUCGCUGAUUUUUUGGCAAACACCACGGCUAAUUUGUGAAGGAUGGAGGUUUCAAGGUUUCAUGGCAUUUUAUUAAUGGCUUAAAGUGGCUUCCCGCCUUGGUCCUAUCAUCCAUCACACAUAACACUUUUAUAAACCAUUAAGUUUUUAUAGAAUGCAAUAACAUAUUGGUAACUAAGUUGCAUAGUUAGCAAGCCUAGGUAGGAAGGAUGAUUGCUCGUUGACAGAUCUUUAAUUUGAAAAAAUUUGCAUCAAAAUCUUCAUGAGAAAUCAUAUAAAGGAGUUAUAUACUUCUAUAAGCAAACCAGACAAUUUAUCUAUCUUAAAGUUGACAUUGUUACCCCUUAAACAAUAAUUUUCCCAAUACAAUUUGCAUGAAGUUUUGACUACUAUUUGGCUAAUUGAUAAAAAUUAUAUACCAAUGAAAGAUAAGUUAGAAGAUGACUUAAAAAUUCUACUAGAGUUUCACUAAAAUUGACUAGAACAAGUAGAAGAUAAUUCAAAUUCAAAUUCAUUGAUUAGGGUUUUGGCCAAAAGCCUACAUUUAUAGAAGGAGUGAAUACCCAAAUUCGUCCUUGGAUUUGCACGAAUCGGCCAAAAACAUCUCCCAAUUAGUCGAAAUGCACGCUUAGUCCCUGAAUUUAACAAACGUCAAUCAAAUUAGUCCUUCCGUCCAAAUGCACCGUUAGUGGUGCUGAGUUGUCUUCCUGCAUGGCUUGUUGUCUUGUACACGUGUACAAGGACGAAUUUGAUUGAAACGCACAAAAUUUCAAUUGUACUUUUGAAUUCAAUUUUUCCUGCUUUUCCAAAUUUACCCUUGUAAUACCUAUACCUUUUCAUGAUCACAUUUCAGCAAUUCCAUCAAAAACAUCCCUGACCGUUCUUCUUCCCGCCUAACCCUUCAUCAUCUUCAUCAGCAUCAUCUCCGGCGAGGAACGUUGCAAAAGAGUCAGUUUUGAUAGAAGAUUUCGUCAUUUCAAAAGGUAACGUCGUUCCUGUUCGUUUUCCAUUCAAUCAUGUUUGUUCUCGUUCGUUUUCUCCGUUAAUGCAGAAAAUGUUGGAAAUGUACCAGGAAAUGCAGAAAAUCAUGUUGCUGAAAAUGGUGGAGGUGUUGUAGAAAAUGUUGGAAAUGUUAAUCCUGGACAUGUUGUAGCUGGAAAUGAUGGACAAGCUGCACAAAAUGCCAGUGUUGGAAAUGUUGCAAUUCAGGGACAAAAUGAUGUCAAUGGUGUUGCAAAUGAAGCAGUGCUUAGACAGGUAUGAAUGUUAGAUUCUAAGGAUCGAUUUUCUAGUAAGUGUAGAAAUUCAGGGACUAAUUUGAUUGAAUUUUUUAUUAAAUAGGGACUGAUAUGAUUGAAAAUGUUGUUGCAGUGUGUUCCUGCAAAGAGGUAUGGCAUUAGAGGUCCAAUUAUUUCAAAUGAGAGACCUAAGCAAAUACCAGUGAGGGGUCCUGCACCUGACAUUGUUCGAGUGCCAUAUCCAAAUUAUGGUCCAUCCGGUUCAAGUCAACCUAAGUUCAUGGAGUUUAUCCCAACCCCCGACUUUCCAAAGAAGUGAAGCUUGAUGCAUGCUUAGAUUGUGCUUUUUGGAAUAUUUUGCUUUGUUUACAUUAUGCCCUCUAGUUGGGUUCUUUUUGGCUAUGUAAUAUUUAAGAACAUCAUUUAUGACUUAUGACUUAUGACUUAUGAGAUAUGACUUAUAGUUGAGUUGCUUUUGCCUAUGUAAUAUUUCAAACUUAAGAGAUAUGACUUAUUUAAUGAUAUUUUCAAGGAUGAAGUUGUGUGUUUUGUCAUUUUUAAUUCGUUUGCUGCAAAUAUAUGCAUUAAGGAUCAACUUGAAAAUAUGUUUUUAUAAUUCAAGGACUUAUUUGACGUUUUUUUGAAAUAAUUCAGGGAUCAAUUUGAUGGCAAGUAAAAAUUAAUAUGGACUGUAUUAGAAAAUAUUUUUUGAAAUCAAUCAAUUUCGUCCUUGAAAUUUUUUGUCAUUAUACAUCAAUUUAGUCCCUGCUUAUGUGGCGUCUGACGUGGCAUCCCAUCUGAGAUGUUAACAGCCACGUCAUCCCCGUUAACGCCCCAAAUGGACGUAGGGACUAAUUUGAUUGACGUUUGUUCUGCAACCUUAUUAUCUUCAAGCCACUUAAAGACCAAAUCAACUGCGUUAUUGAUAUUUUCCUUUUCUUUUGACGAAAGCUUCGAGCUAACAUCUGGAUCAUUUAUGGAAUCCCUCAUAUUGUAUGCGUACCUCUCUAGUGCAUUUCUCGCUUCAACCUUCUUCCUAUGCCUCAUGUCUUCAUCUUUGUAUUUCUCAGCUUCUCUUAUCAUCCUAUCAACUUCCUCCUUUGACAGCCUUCCUUUGUAAGGAUUUUCUAUUCUAACUUGCUUGAUUUUCACAUUUAUAACAAUUUCUUAAAAAGAUGCAGGUAUUUUUUGUAAUUUGAUCAUUUUUCCUUUAGAGCAAUUUUUUUUUCAAAAACACGUUAUUCAACCGGUGCGAAGCACUAAUGUCAUAUAUGUUUCUGAGAAUAGGUAGUGUAACGCCCCAGAUUUUGAUCCAAGACAUUACUUAAAAAUGAUAUGUUUCUUUAAAAAAUAUUUGAGUGAAACUAAUAGAAAGAUAAACUGUUAAAAAUAAAUCAAUAAAAAAUUACUCCUUAAUAAUAGAAUUCAAAAGUAUUUUAGAAGUUACAAAUACAACUUAAUGAAAAUUAAUCUUCUUUUACAUUGAAAAACGCAAUUUGCCCCCAAGUACGCUUCGAUCACACAUCAAGCUCAUAUUUCAUCUUUGGUGCCUACAACAUUAUAUUAAUGUAAGGGUCAAUUUCCGUAUCCAAAUUGGUUCAUACUGAAAGCACAAUAAACAAUGCUCUAAAAUAGAUAGUAUAAAAUCUUCUCGAUCAAAAAGAAAUAAAAAUAACAAGCCAUCUUUUAAGAAAAGAACUCAAAUGAAAUUAUGCAUGAGAUGCAUGCUAUGCUCUUAAGUACUACAUGAUCCAGAUAUAAACAAGCCACAAAGGCUAAAACGAGCCACAAAGGCUAUGCAAAUGUUGUGAUAAUGAAACAAGCCACAAAUGCUAUGCAUAUGCCAUGCCAUGAUGAUUAGUUUCAAAAAUUAAUAUUCUAGCCACUUAGGCAAAAGCAAAAUAGAACCCAACCACUAAGGCAACCACACAACUAAAUCAUAAACAAAUUACAUCCUUUUUAUUCUCAAACAUCACAAAGCAAAUAAAACAUAAUAGAAAUCGAUAUCACCUUCUCAUAUAUAAAAUUCAUAAAUAAAUCCAAGCUUUAAUAAUUAUAUUUAUCUUUUAAUUAUUAUUAUUAUUUUUAUUUUCUUUCAAACCGACAAAAAUCUCUACCACUAUUUCAUAAUAAGAUCCUAACACUUAGUAAGAACGUAUGGGGAAAAAGCCCUUACCUUGGUCGUUUCCUCUUUUAACAACAUGAAAAUUUACCAUCGCACGAAAGAUAAGAGUGUGCCCAACGCUAGAAUCACACAAAAUGGAGGAGAAUGACUAAGAAAUAUUUUUGGAUAUACACAAGAUGAUUGUUGUGUGGGAUAUAUGAUAGACUCCAUCUAUUUCUUUCUUUUACUAACUAUUUGAAAUGUGUAACUCUUAGGAAGGUGAGAGUGGUUUCAAAUAUUAAGAGACAAAUAGAUGCAAAGCAAGACACGUUACAAAAUAAAGAUAAUUUAUGGUGAAAAUGAAUUAGUAAUAAAAUCAAAUCACUCGGGUCAAAGGUACUACUAGAGAGAGAGACUCGUAAGACCAACAAAACAUUUAACCAUCUUAAAAUAAUUUAAAGCAUUAUAUAUAAAAAUAUUAAAAUAAAUAGAAUUAUUAAAAAGAACAUAUAUAAAAAUAUAAAAAUAAAUAGAAUUAUUAAAAAGAACAUAUAUUAAAAUAGAAUUAUUAAAAAGAACAUAUAUUAGAUAAAUUGCAUCAACAUUAUUAAAAAGAGUAGAAGCCUGAGUGCAAAUUCUAAUAAGUUUUAGGCCCCGUUUGGAUUGGCUUAUUUUGAGCUUAUGUGUGCUUAUUUAUUUUCAUAAGUUUUUUUAAAGGUGUUUGGGUAAAUAAAUAAAAAUAGCUUAUCAUAGUUUCAUAAGCUGCUUAUGUCAUAUUUUAAUAAGCCUAAAUUUUCAGCUUACCCACCGGCUUAACAAGGAGCUUAUGAAUUUAUGUAACCUCCUUCGAUUCUCUCUGGAUCCACUUUUUCAAAACAUAUAUUUUUAUUUUAUUUUUUUGUUUUUAGAAAAAAAAAACAUAUAUUUUAAUUAUAAUGUUAGUUAUCUUUGGUUGUGCAUGAGUAACAAAAUGGCUAUAUAUUUAUCUUACUAAAGUAACACACGUAACUACGAUUUUUUUUUAAGAAUGAUUUUUAUUAUUUUUUUGUUACAUAACAAAAUGAAACUGAAUAAAAAAAAUAAACUUAACUUGUCUUUUUUUGGUAACAAAUUGUACAUUAAUAUCUAUAUAUAUGGUAAGUUUACAAUCAUAAUUUUCCAAGUUUAUAUUUAUAUUAUUAUACUUUUUUUUAAAAGAAAGCUUAUCAUAUAUUAUUAUACUUGUGUAUAAUGAUGUUUAGACUAUUUAUUUACACCUCGAAUGUUAAUUUUGUCUAAUAAGGAUUUUCUAUUCUAACUUGCUUGAUUUUCACAUUUAUAACAAUUUCUUAGAAAGAUGCAGAUAUUUUUUGUAAUUUGAUCAUUUCUCCUUUAGAGCAAUUUUUUUUCAAAAACACGUUAUUCAACCCGUGCGAAGCACUAAUAUCGUACAUGUUUCUGAGAAUAGGUAGUGUCAUACAUGUUUCUGAGAAUUGAGAAAGAAUUGGCAAAGGUGUUUUGGUUUGGUUAUAGAGAUUGUGAUGCUUUUGUGUAGGUAUAUAUAUCUUGGGGGUUAUUCGACAGUGAAGUAGAAGUUGCAAGGUCCUAAGCACUAAUGAAUUAUUACAUUCUACCUGCACUGAAUUUAUUACAUUUGAUUAUCAAGCUCAUUUGCAAUGCAUCCAACAUGUAUCUCCCUUUUGAUUUUCCAAUUGGUAAGUAAAAUUAUCAUUGUACAGAAUAGAAAGUACAAUGCCUAAAUUGUAGCAUGGACUUUCCUUAGCAAGUUCAAAUAUGUUUUGAUAAAAAGUAAGCAAUCAGAUAUUUUGAAAAUGUGAUCACAAUCGUGGAUUUAGAAGAAUAUAAAUCAAUGCGAUCACUGAGUUUGAAUAAGGAUUUGUCACUGUCAAUCCUUCAUAAAUGUUGUUUUUUGAUACACUAAAAAACCAAAAGCAAUUUAUGAAUUAUAUUGGAGCCUGUGACUGUUAAUUUUCGUGUAGUGUAGAGGAGCUCAAGUUAUUUAGUAUGAUCAUGAUGAUGUUAAUUAACAAAUAUGAGGAUUUGUAUUAUUCAGUCUAUGUAUAUUUGUUUAGAUUACAUAAUAUGUGCACUAUUUGGCUGUGUUUCUUAUCUAGUGCGGUAACAUUUUGGGAUUGGCUUAGGACACUUGGAUUUUAUCUUAAGAAAUCAGUUUCAUUUGACUUAUUCAAACAUGUAGUAAGGAUUAAAAAUAAAAAUAAAAACAGUAUUCAACCCGUGCGAAGAACGCGACCUUCGUUCUCAAAAUUACGAAGAAUAAGAAUGUUCCGUAAUUUGAACAUCCCUCUUUUAGAGAAAUUUUUUAAAAAAAUACAUAAUUUAACCUGUGCGAAGCACGGGUUUGUAACUAAUUUAUCUAUGAAAAUGGUUUUGGGUUUUCUUUGAAAUAGGAGAUUCUUGGAAAAAUUGGAGUUUAUGUGGAAAAAAUUGGAGUUGCAUUGGAAAAAUAGGAGUUGAUUUGGAAAUUCUUCGAUAAAAUAAUAUAAAGAGGCUGUUCAUGUGCUUCUCUCUUUUAACUCUUCCAUUUUCUUUUUUAAUUCUAGAAAUAGAGUGUGACAUUUAGAUUUUUUAUAAAUAAAAAAUUACACAACUGACAUCGUCAUCACUUAAGUGAUUCAACAAGAUGGUUUAACGGUACAAUUUAACGGUAAAAAAUUACACAAGUGACAUCCUCAUCACUGACAUUGUCACUUAAAUUUGAAAUUUCACGGUACAAUUUGAAUGAAGGUUUAACUUUUUAUAAAGUCAAUCAUUACAGAAGAAACUAUUCCGGUGAUGUCACCUGUUGUAGCUGCAUACACUGUCUCGAAACAAUAUUUGGCUAAUAAUGGUAACCAACGAUUCUUUUUUUUGUUCACGGGAUGUCCAACCAUAGUACCUUCUUGCACACAAUGUCCCUCAUCCUUUAUCAUCUUUAUAACAAUUGGAUCAAACACACUUGAAAGAAUGCUACUAUAAUGUUCAAAAUCUUGUUGUUCUGCAACCACAUUAACGUCAAGCCACUUAAAGACCAAAUCAGUUGCGUUAUUGAUGUUUGCCUUUUCUUUUGACGAAAUCUUCGAGCUAAUAUCCGGAUCAUUUAUGAAUUCCCUCAUAUUGUAUGCGUACAUCUCUAGUGCAUUUCUCGCUUCAACCUUCUUCCUAUGCCUCAUGUCUUCAUCUUUGUAUUUGUCAGCUUCUCUUAUCAUCCUAUCAACUUCCUCCUGUGACAGUCUUCCCUUGUCAUUUACUAUUUUAAACCUUUUAUCAAUUCCCGAGGCUUUUUCCGUAACAGAGACGUCUAAGAUGCCAUCAUCGUUAAUUUGGAAGUUGACCACGAAAUGUAGAACACCUUUUGGACGUGGAGGAAUUUCAAACUCAAAAGCUCCUAGCAAGUUGUUGUCCUUAGUUAUUUGCCUCUCACCCUCAUAAACAUGAAUCGAAAUAACUUUUAGGUUGUCUUCAGCUGUGGUGAAUGACUUUUCCCUAUUGGUAGGAAUCGUGGUAUUCCUAGGAAUUAUUACGCCCAUGAGGUCCCCUUUCAUAUUAAUUCCAAGGGACAAAGGAUUGACAUCCCUCAAUGUCAAAUCUUGAAACUUUUCACAAAUCGCACCACUUGCUAUAAAAGCAUGGACAGCAGCGCCAUAUGCAACCGCCUCAUCUACAUUGAUGUUUUUACAUAACUCCGUCCCACUACCCUUAUUAAUUCCAAAGAAAUCAAUCAAACGUUGUUGCACUUUUACAAUCCUGGUAGAGCCGCCAACAAGCACAACAUCAUGAAUUUUACUCUUCACUAUCCCACUAUCUUCUAUACACUUUUCUACACUCUCCAUGCACCGGUCAAAAAGACUCUUACUGAGAUUGUCGAAAAUUCCACGACUAAUCACUGAGGAGAAAUCUUCACCUUUAUAUAAACAAUCUAUCUCGAUGUCAGUCUUAUUAUUGGAUGAAAGUGUACAUUUUGCUCUCUCGCAAGCAGUCUUCAGCCUCCUAAUGGCUCUUGGAUCUCCACUAAUGUCGAGUUUAUGUUUUCUCAAGAACUCUUUCACAAAAUGGUUCACCAUUGCAUUAUCAAAGUCUUGUCCCCCGAGGUGAGUGUCUCCUCCAGUGGCCUUAACAUUGAUAUCACCAUUCUCAAAUGUGAGAACAGACACGUCCAAAGUACCACCACCUAAGUCAAAAAUGAAAACAUUUCUACAUCCAUGAUUAAAUGGUUUCAAGUCAAGGCCAUAUGCAAUUGCAGCUGCAGUAGGCUCAUUGAGUAUUCGCAAAACAUUGAGGCCAGCAAUAGCACCCGCAUCUCGAGUAGACUGGCGUUGUGAGUCAUUAAAGUAUGCAGGCACAGUUAUAACAACAUCCUCCACUAUUGAUCCAAGGAAGGUUUCUGCUAUCUCGCGCAUUUUCACCAAUACCAUGGAUGAGAUUUCUUCAGCAGCAAAAUGUUUUUCCUCGUCAUUAUAGUUAACAACAAUCAUGGGUUUGUCAUUCAGGUCACCAAUUACUUUGAAUGGCCACAACUUCACAUCACUUUGUACUAUGGGAUCACUAAAUUUCCGACCAAUUAGCCUCUUUGCAUCUACAAAACAAAAGAGAGUUGUGUACACUAUGAAAAACAAUUGGAUCGCUUUAUGAAUUAAUCAUUCUAUGUGGAUUUGAAUAAAUCCAUAUAUAUAUAAAUAGGAUAACUUUAAUAUAUAUAGCUUGUAUAGAAAAUACUAUUAUAUAUUUAACCCCGUAAGUAAUACAAUCUUGGGAUUUUGGUCCCUUAUAAAAAACAAUAACAAAUCAGCUCCUAUGUUUAUCCUCUUUUGCACUUUUGGCCUUCCGACCAAUUUUAAUCAAAUUAAUGCAUAUGUGACACCCAUAUCACUUUAUUUAUUAGGUUUAAUUGCAGUUUUUCCCCCUAAGUAUCAUAAUCUUGCGAUUCUGGCCCCUUAAAAAAAUAUAAAGUCACACGUGGCACCCCCUUUAAAUGAUAUGUGGCCAAAAUCGUAAAAUUGUGAUAUUAAGGGAUCAAAAUUGAAACUAAGCCUAAUAUGUAUUGUUACAACGUGAAAUAACUUUUUAUUGGAUAUUUUCAUUACAAAGAGAACUCUUUAUUUUGCUUAUGAACUCGUGGGAUACACAAAAAUUGUAUUAUCAUGUAUAAAAAUAAAACUAGUACUAAUCUAUCACGUCUUUGAAUGAACUUUGAGUUAAAAUACUCUUAUUAAAAAAAAAAUCAUAUAUAUAAGCCACAGUUGCAUAAUUCUCUUACAAAAUAAUCAUGCAUGUGUUUUCUUAAAAAUUUAGUAGAAAGUAACGAACAUUGUCGAUAUGCUCAUGAACUUUACUAAUAAUUUUGUUAAGCUUUUGAAGAUCUAUUAAUAUAAAAUAAUAGUGGUCAUUCAUCAUGAGUUAUUGCUUUAAAAAAAACAAAGAACCAAAACUUUCAAUAAUCUUUACUUCUAAUUUUCAUAUCAGAUAGAUUAUUGAAAAGAAAUAUUUAGUUUCUCUUCUUGUUAAUUUCUUUAUAUUGUAAUAGAACCGAAAAUACAUAUUAAUAAAAAAUAUAUCAAAUACACCUACUAAUACUAUCACACUUCAAAAAAUAACCGAAAAUACAUACUACUAAAAAAAAAGGAUUAAAUAUGUUUUUUAGUCCCUAUAAAUAUACCAUAUUUUUUUAAUAUUAAAUGAGUCCUCGUAUAUUUUCUCAUAAAAAUUACUCAACUUUUUAUUUUCUUUAAAAAAAAUGAGUAACCUAUUUCACUAUAUUUUAGCGUUAUAAAAUAAAAAGUUAUAAUAUGUAGUAACAAAUUUAAUCAUAAAAUAUUUGCAACAAACUAAAGUUGGAUGACGUCUUCAAAAUAACUAAAGAGUGCAACAUCAUAGUUUGUAACUCUAACAUGUUUUGAUUUUUAAUAUAGAGGAUGUGUCAAUUUUAAAAAUUUGACUUUGAUUUUCAAUAUAGAGGAUGUGUUGUAUCAAUUUUAGAAAUUAGACUUGAUUUAUAACAAAAACAUAUUUUUAAAAGAAAGAUUAUAACCAAAACCUUUGUUAUUCUCCUUCCUCCCUAUGAGAAUGAGAAUGAAAAUAAAAAUAAAAAUAUGAACAUUAUUGGGUAAGUAAGUUUAUUGGAUCAAUGUCUGGUUUUACUCAAAACCCGUUAUUUUUUUUUUAUAGAUUUUUCAUUUUUUAAAACCAUAUCCACUCAAUCAUCCAACCCAUUUUUUUGGAUGGAUUUGAGGGAUUUUUUUGGGUUGACUCAACCCAUUUAAUAUACACCCAUAAAACCAUAAGGAAAGGCAUAAAAUUAUUACUCCCUCCGUCCCAAAUUGUAUGUCACUUUAGAAAAAAUAUUUGUCCCAAAUUGUAUGUCGCUUUACAAUACCAAUGAAAAAUUAAUGUUACUUUUCCUAUUAUAUCCUUAACUAUUUAUUACUCUCUCUUCUUUCAAUUCCUUCAUUUAUCUUUCUCAUAUCAUUUAUUGAGGAUAAUUUUGUAAAACAACUCAUAAUAUCUCUUUCCCACACAAUAUUAAUUACAUUUCUUAAUAUGUGUGAAAUGCCCAAAACGUCAUGCAAUUUGGGACGGAGGGAGUAAAUGUAUAACAUCUAUCGAGACAAAAUAUGAUAGUUUACCUCUAUCAGAUAAAAUUAAUUGCACUAUUCUUAAUAAUUACUACUCCCUCCGUUCCAAAUUGUAUGUUGCUUUAGGGAAAAAAAUUUGUCCUAAAUUGUAUGUCGCUUUACAGUUACUUUUUCUAUUAUAACCUUAACUAUUUAUUACUCUAUCUUAUUUCAAUUCUUACAUUUAUUUUUCUCAUAUUAUUUAUUAAGUACAAGUUUGUAAAACAACUCAUAAUAUCUCUUUUCCACACAAAAUUAAUUAUAUUUCUUAAUAUAUGUGAAAUGCCCAAAACGUCAUACAAUUUGGGACGGAGGGAGUAAUAUUUAUGUAUCAUAACCCCUUUCAAAAAAGAUAUUUCUGUAUCUUAAUAAUUAAAAUUUCUAUUUAUUUAAAUAUAAUUAAAUUUAAUUCAUUUUAAUAUAUGAAUUUUCUGCCAAUUUUUUUAUAAUAUAUCAAGUAGAUAUAACACUUAUGUUCCCACACCUACGCUUCACUCUUCUUUCAUACUAGUAUAUUUUAUUUUUUAUUUCACCCUUUUCUCUCCUUUUAUAGAAAAUUAUCAAAGAAUUCGAUUAAAGUACGAUCCAUGAAAGAUGAAUCUUCCAGAUCGUUUACUGUCACUGUUUGACCGCAUGUUCUUCCUAUUCUCUUCCGACAUUUUUCUACCAAAACAUGUUUUAUGAAAGCAAACUACCUUUUGUUUUUGGAAUGAGAAAGGAACUACCUUUGAAAUGGGUUAUUUUUAUGUGUUUGAUAUAUUUUCAACCAGUGAAAACCACCUUUAGACACAACUCCACCACCACUAAAUUCCUCUUCUACAAUUUAAUUUCAUGAACAUUUGGAAUGUACUCACUUCGAUUACUAUUAUAAAUAAAAAUCAAUUUUUUAGAUUCAUUUAUUAAAUUAUGUAUUUGAUCUAUAAUUAGUAAAGUCAAGAAUAAUUGAGUUUAGAAGCUUUUACCGAAAAUAGUGUUUGUUGGGUUCGAAGCAGCUAUAUUGAAAGCAGCAUCACCAAUCAUUCUUUCAGAGUCUUUGAAUGCAACAAAAGAAGGUGUUGUUCUCUUCCCUAGGUCGUUCACUAUUAUAUCUAUCUCUCCAUUCUUACACACUGCAACACAAGAAUAGGUUGUUCCUAGGUCGAUUCCUAUUGCUACUUUCUUACCUCUUCCUGACAUUUCUUUCUUUGCAAUCACUCACAGGUAACAAAGUUUUGAGUAGAAAAUAUAGAACGAUGAGUUUUGAGAAUAAAUUGUUGUUUGAGCUGUUUCAUUAAAUGUAAAGAUUUGUGCAUAUAUAUAAUAAUAUUAGUCUUACUAUCACAAAGUAGUACGUGUAAAAUUUCAACAUUCUCUCAACUUAUAAGUGAAUAACAAAAGUUUAAUAUAUAUUUUUUUUAAAUAGACAAAAUGACAAAGUCAUCAUAAACUCGCAUACACGAAGUAGAAAUAUUAGGAUUCGAACCCCAGUUAUAACGUCUGACCUAACAAAAAGUAGAAAUAUUGGGAUUCGAACCCCGAUUAUAACGUCUGACCUAACAAUUUGUCAUUUUUUGCUAGUUGAACUAUGACUUAUGUGACACAAAAGUUUAGUAUUUUUUUUUUUUAUUUGUCGAGAAAAGUUUAGUAUUCUACUAAUUGAUAAAUGCUAAAAUAUAGCCAUGGGCACUUAUUAGCAUAUGACCCUUGAUAAAUUAAAAUCACUCAAAAAUAGAAGGAUUCAAAUUAUUCAAUUAAUAAUAUUUUUUCCGUCUCAAAUUAUAAAUCCUUUUAAAAAAAAAUUGUUUUAAAUUAUAAAUCAUUUCAUAAUACCAAUAAAACGUUAAUUUAAUUUUUCAAAUUAUAAUUUAAACUAUUUAUUAAGUAUUUUUAUAUCUAAUAAUUUUUUAUACUAUUUUUUCGAGGGACAAAUGAGUCAACAAAAUUGUUGUAUCUAUUUUAUAAUAUGUACUAAAUACAUUAAUAUUUAUUGAUCUAUUUUUCUCUUACAAAAAGAUCAACAAAAGUGUUUAUUAAGGAGAUUAUUAGAAAUGUCCUAAGCAUAUCACUUUCAGCUAGAAUUUAAAUAACCUUAUCGUUUUGAAAUAACAUAAAGUUAUUGAUGUUCUAUAGUAAUUUAUUUGGUGAUAAGCAUAUCAAGUGAGGUAGGAGAGAUGCAUCAUAUCAGUGAGCUGUAGGCAAGUGGAUAAGUUGAUUUUAAAGCAUAUGAUUAUUUGGGGUGUACAACAUCACGUCAAUUGGAGCCUCAUCUUUUGAGGAAAUAUCAGUCUUAUCUUAUGUUAUCUUUUGGAUUGAAUGAGACCCAUAUACCCAAGUAGUCUUAUGUUAUCUUAUCAAAAUGACUCCAUCAACCAAUAAACAUUCAUUAAAAGCCUUACCCAGUGGCCCUCAUCCAACAAAUAUUCUUUUAUGAACACAAUUUCUCAUUAGAAAAAACACAGAUUUAUUUUUAAAUAAAAAAAUGAAACUUUUCCUUAGUACAAACAAUCCAACCACACACUGUCCAAUCCAACCACACACUACAAUACGAAUGAAUUUUCACUUUAUCCAACAACUGAUCAAUACUGUUUUUCUUGUGGCUAAAUAGUCUAUUAUUAUGUUCCACAUGAAAGACAAAUGAGCUGCAUAAAAGAUCGCUGCGCAACCAACCCACCUGUAGAAUAAGUAAACUGAACAAAAUGACCAGAAAUACUAUAAGGAUCGGUCAUGGAAACACCUAUCCAAUCACGGACUAAAUGCCAAAGAUCCCUGAUAAUUGUACGAGAAAGAAAUAAAUAUUGAGCCGUUUCGAUUUCUCCACACCUGGUCAUACACAAAUGCGUGUCAUGAUUUAGGAUUCCAUGCAUCACCAAAUUUUGGACAAUACCGUUGCCUAAGGAAGAAAGGAGUGUCGAAGGAAGAAUUCAACCUGAAGGUUGAAAAUCAGAAGGAAAUUAAGAAGCCUUAAGGACAGGGGCUACCGAGCACAAGUUAGACAUAUCUGUCAAGCUCAUGACAUAAAAAACGCGCUCAAUAGGAGACAACCUAUUCCGUCAAGCUAAGGACUCAAAAGAAGCGUUGAAUAUAAGACAACUUAUUGAUCGUCGGGACUAAGACAUUAAACAAUCGCUAAAUGGGAGGCAACCCAUUAGUUUAUCUUUUCUGCAUUUCUAUUUUUUGCUAAGUUAUGAUUUCCUAACUAAUGUCAUUUCUUAUUCUGCUACUAAUACUUAAGUUUUAUCUUAUAAAAUUGUAUUUUUUUUUUUUUUUUUGCAUUUACAAAUACAACAAUUUCUUUUAUGCUUUAAUUUUGUUUUAGUUUUAGGAAGUCACUUCAAAGUGUUCACAGUGGAGGCUAGUUUACUUCAAGAGCACAAUACUUUUUGGGGCUUGCUACUGAAGGUACUUAUAGGAUCAACAUCUCUUUUCUGAAUGCUAUUUUUUCUCGAAUUUGCUGUCGUUCUUUACGGACGAUCAGUUAAAAUAUAAUAAACAUAAGACAUUUUUUUCUUUGGUACCUUGAUACUUUCAAGCCACCCUUUUUAUAUUCUUAUUAUCCUUUUUGAAACCACUUUGAGCCUUCAGAAGAUAUUUCUUUCUUAUUACUAAGUGACGAAUCAUGUCACAGUCCUGAACUUUAAAAUCACCUUGUUUGAUUUCUCUUGGAGUUAGAUAUGAUAUUAUCUUGACUGUGUAUGGUUUGAUGCUUAGUUUGACGUUGCUCUUUGGAAUUAACAACAUUUUAUGUUUGGGGUGGGGUAAUGAUGGUCGGAUUAGGCAAGUGUACCCAAUCGUUUACCGAGUACUAAAGUGAUAAGUAGAGUAUCGUAUCCACAUGGGUUGUCGUUUCUUCGAAAUAAUUCGUGUUACUUAUUUUAAAUUGACGAUAUAAAAUAAAAGAGAUAAGGGUUAGAAAUUGCAAUUUUUAUAAGUUUGCAACAUAGCAAGUUACCUGUUUUUUGUUACAUAAAAGGAAACAGCGGUUAGGACUCUUUAAAUCCCCUCUAUUUACUUUGUUGGAUAUUGAAUAACAUUCAUUAAUAGACUAUACAAGUGAUGAGAUUGUUGGGACAUUCUAGCCUAAUCGGUUGUCAAGUUGCACCUGCUUAUCGCACAGUGAUCCUUACGUGUGGGGUCUAUACUAUCUCGGUUGAUUUAGGUUUAUCCCUCUGAUGGCUAACUGCACUUGACGAUCGCACAGUGAUCCUUACGUGCGGGGUCUUGCUAAUUCAAAGGUAAUUGAAACAUAUACUUAAAUUGGCAUUCCAGGUUUUCCAAAGGCAAUGAAGGCCAAUGUUGCAGUAGGUCAGCCCAUCUGUUAAUCUUAGGACACUCAUAACACACUCUCAUUUUCCCCUAAGUAGUUAUACAAACGAGCAGCCCUAUCAACAUCUACCUUACCUAGAGGUCGGGGACAAUGGUUUUAUUUAGGUUUAUUUCUCUUGGUGUUUGUUUCCCUAAUUACUAAACUAGCUACAUCCGAGGUUCAACAUAUUUUACUCAAUAUUAAUAAUGUCACAUCCUAAGUACCUACUACUAGGGUCAACUCUCUUUUGGUAUCUUUCGCUAGUUUACUAAUCAUCUACUUUCUAGACGGAUAAUUACUAGUAUAAGGAAAUAAAUAUCAAGAUAUAAGCAUCCAGAUAGUAAUAGAAAUGUCAAGCCCUCUCACGAAGUAAGUAUCUAAUCUAGGGUUGCACCCCGCCAUAAUAUAUUAAUCUUAAGCAAAACUUAACAGCAAAUAAAAAAUAUAUUAAAAUAAAAUGACAUUAAAUUAAAUAAUUAUCCAACAAACGCAAACCGAUGUUCAUCUUAGAACCCUAACCUAUAGAUAUCUAGUUACACAUGAUAACUAAGACAAAAAUACAAAAAGAUAAAAAUAUAUCCUAGAAAAUAUAGGAGAAGAUAUAACUCCUCCUUGACUCCUAUAAUAGCCUUCCUAUUGAACUGCUCAAGUUCUGAACGAGAAAUUGUGAAUGAGGAAGACUAUAUUUGUAUAGAAAGUUUUCACCUAACUUGGACUAAAAUCACAAACUUCUAGGGACGAAAAAGUCACGAAAAAUGAUUUUUUUCGCAAAACUCAUGUGUCCCGCGCCUAGAGUCAUGCGCCUAGCGCAUGUGCCUGGAUCUUUCAUGCGCCAGGAGCUUACAAAUUGCUAUGAAUGUGGCAAGUCUUAUAAAAGCUAAUCUUAUUAUCUAAUCCUAAACUACAAUGCAAACAAAACAUCAAAAACCCUAAUCCUAUGUUUUGAGUGGGAAACUAAUGCUUUAACCUCACUUAAUGCCAUUUUUGAAUUUCAAAUCAUGUACCCUUUUGGAAUGUGUGCUCAUGUGGCUAAUUAAAUGCAGAUUUUGAAAUUCAAAUAUCCCACCUAUUGGAAUUGUGCUCCCUUCUUUCCAAGACAUGCAGUUACCCACUUCCCAAUGCAAAGGAAUCUGAACCAAACAACUACUUCCUUGCAUUUUGCUCUCUCUCCCCUUUCACGCCCAUUUUUCUCUCUGUUCAGAAAAAGUCAUCAAUUUUCAGUCCCUCUUAUCUUCUCUCUCACUUCAGUUCCUCUCUAAAAAAAGCAUCUUCUCUUCUCACACUUUAUUUCUUUUCUUCAUUUUCCGACAUUCUUCUUCAAUUCUCCCUUUCUCUCUCAUUGUUUCUCGCAUGGCUCUUCGUGUCUUAGGUUUGGGUGUUCUCUUCAUCGCCGGCCAGCCUCACCAAGGCAAUAAGCAUCUUCAAGUUUUAUUGAAGGAAAAUGCUUCUAUGCAACAAAAUUUAUAUGAGCUUCGAUCCCUCGGGUAUGCGUUUUCAGUUUCGUUACAUUUUGAUAUCGUGAUUAGGGUUUUGGUAUCACUGGUGUUAUUUUGAUUGAUUUUUCCGAUUUGAUAGGAAGGGAGCUUGAAGAAGCGGGAGUUCUUAGUGAAUCGGCACAGUCGCGGAAGGUUUUUCUUUUCAUCAACGAUCUUCUCUCUCAUUCGCUGCUCUUCGAAUGUAGUGUUUAAAGAAAUUUUUUGAAAUGUGUAGACACGAAAAACUUCCAUUAUUAUUAAAUUUAAAGUUAUGACAUUUGAAAAUAUGUGAUGUAUUUUUGUUUUUCUCUAAUACAUUUACAUUGCCGCACGGAUGAAAAGUCUAGAUCGACCACCCUUGCCUAAAAUUUUUGUAAUUUACCAGCAUGAUUUUUUCCCUUUUUAAAUUGUAUUAUUAUUUUUUAACAUUGUAUUUGCACAAACAGAUUAUUAGUUACAAUAUAAUUAAAUGUUUUUUUGCCAUCAAUAUGACCCGUGCAGCAGCACGGGUGCAAGGUCUAGUAGCAAGCAAUCCUACAAGUUGAAAGGAAAGACAAGAGGAUGAAGGCUGACAUUUCAUGGGUAGAUGAAACUAUGGAAGCUUUUAGAAAAAUAAUUUCUCAAAAAAAUUAUCAUGCAUCUCAUGUAAAUGAGCAUAUUGUAUAUAAGUAUAUUGAAUCUUCUAAGGUUUUAUUUUUUAUUUUUUUAGGGAUGAAUCUUCUAAGGGUUAUCAUAAAUUUUUGGAUGUCGAAUAUUGUGAUGGUUUUACUAGCAUACAUAAAGAGAUAUUAUCAUUAAAAAGCAAACAAGAACACGCCUAUAAACCUCAAAUAGAAUUUGCUACGAAGUCAAAUGGUGUUACACCUUCUUUUAAAAAACCUUACAAGAAAUACUCUUAUGUUAAAAAUAUUGAUAGCAAAUCCUAUGUCAUUAUUGUGGUAAAAUGGGACACACCACACUUCAUUCUUACAUUAUAAAAAUUGAAGUUUUUAAGGCUUUGUUUGAGAGUUUGGAAGGGAAGGAAAGGAAGGGCUUUGAGGGGUGCAAAAUAUGAGGAUAAAUAGAGAAAUUCUUCAAAAUUUUUAAAAGAGUAGUUUUUUAGAUAAUGAUAAAUUAAUGCAUAUGAUUACUUUAUUUUUAAUUUUAAAAAUAUUAUGACAACAUAGAUUAAAUUUGAAGAAGGGUUUUGUAUUAUGGAGAAAAGUUAACCAUAAUGAGGAGGGUCUUAUUAACCCUCCAAAACCCUCUACCAAUACAAUUCUUUAGUUCCUCCAAAUGAGGAGGGUUUUGUAUUAUGGAGAAAAGUUAACCCCCCAAAGCCCUCCUUCCCAUUUUCCUCUAUUUCUUCUACUUGCUCAUUCCUUUUUUCCCAAGCCUUCCCCUCCAAACUCGUAAACAAAACCUAAAGAAAUCAUGAUGUCAGUCACAAAGGGGUAAAGAUCCCCUCCAUUUAUAAAAAGAAAUAGAAGAUACAAUUUGAAAAGAGAUAAACACAAAAAAUAGUUGUUGAGUCUCAAUACUAAGUGGAUUCCACCAUCAUUAAUUAUUUUUUACUUUUUGUGUAUUUUUAUCUCUCUAAAUGGAACUAAUGAAAAAAAUUAUAAAUGAAGAAGAUCUUAACCCGUCACAAAGAGUCCCAUUUAUACAACCACAAAAAGGAAAUAUUUUUGCUCUUUACCCAACAAUUUUUGCUCAUUCCCAGCUGAAAUGCCACUACUUGAGUUAACUCACGUUAGUGUAAAAUUUGUGUGAGUUAAAACAUGCAGUGUGAGUUAACUCACGUUUAGUAAUAUGAUUUUUUUUUUUUUCCGAAUUUAUUUAAUAAUACGCAAGGAAGGAAGGAAGAAAGGAACAUAAAUAAUACAAAAUAUUAUUUAGAUGACAAAAUCAUAAAAUAAAUGCUAAUAUAAAUAAAUAAAAAGGAAGAAAGGAACAUAAAUAAUACUUAUAAAACCUCAUUUUAUUAAUUAUUGAUACAUUUACAAAAAUUGUUACAUUUUAUUCGAAAUUAUUAAAUCUGAAUCUUUGAGGUAAAAAGAGACCAACCAUGGGAUAACAGAGAAUCAAUGUUGGGGAAAAAAGAGACCAACCUGCUUGGGGCAAAAGGAUAUCAAUCCUUGAGGUAAAUCUAAAUCUGGUUUUUUUUGAUACCCCAAGAAAGAGUCUUUUUACCCACGGUAAAAAAAAUUUGGGGUAAAAAGAAGCAAAUUUACUUUUACCCCAAGGGUUGACCUCUUUGUGCCGCCAAAUCGGUUGGCCUAUUUUUUCCCCUCCCUUGACCUUUUUUUACCCCUCGAUUGACCUCUUUUUACCCCGAAAAAAGCUAAAAAAACAAAGACUAUAAAGGUGAGAGAGUGAGGAGGAGGAGAGAAUGUAUGGUGUGAGGAAAUUGUGAGUUUUGGAGGGGUAUUUAUAGGGAGGAAUGGGUAACGUAGGUUUUAUAUGCACUAAAUGCAGUCAAAAAAGUUAAAAAAAAAAGUGCAAAAAUGGAUUAAAAUCAAGGUUGAAUAACUAACCACCGUCCAAAAAACGUGUUCUUGGUGCAUGAAAAAUCGGCCACAAUAGCGUGAGUUAACUCACGCUAGUGUUAUAAUCUGCGUGAGUUAACUGAAGAUUUGCAUUUCCCCUAUAAAUAUUCUUUCAACCUUCACCAUUUGUCACAUUCUCUCCUCCUCACUCUCUCCUCCUCUUCCUUCUCCGAUAUUUGCAUUCAUUUUGUAGAUAUAUCUCAAAAACAGGGUGAUGCUGCUCAAUUAAAAAAAGAGGGCGAGAAAAAGAAAGCUAAGUCGACUUUGACAUGGCACGAAAUCAAAUGUGAUGGUUCCGUUAAAAAAAGUGAUUUGAAACCAUUCCAGACUGAGGAGGAGCGGAAUGACAUGUUAUUUUGGUCCUCAACCAAAAGCAGGUGCCACUAGGAUUGUCGAGGACAACCCAAUUGACUUAAGCGACGAAGGAGAUAAUUAAUGUAAUGACUUGUAAUAAAGUUGGAUGUUUUUCUACAUUCCUUUCUAAUGUAAUGGCUUGAAUAAUUUUGAAUAAAGUUGCGUUUUGAUUUAAAUUACGUAUUAACUAACUAACACUAGCGUCAAUACACAGAAAACAUAACUAGUGUGAGUUAACUCACUCAGGGAUAAUAUGGUCUUUUCAGUUGGGAGCGAACAAUUUUUGUUGGGUAAAGAGCAUAAUUCAAAAGGAAAAGAAACCUAGAUGAUAGUUUUUCAAGGCACGUGACAGCAGAUGCAUCUAUGCUGAUUGAUUUUCCAAGAAAGGAGCGUGGAUAUGUCCCAUAUGUUGAGAAUAAUAAAGGCACAAUUUUAGGUAAAGGUUUUGUAGAAAGAUAAAUGCUAGCAACACUUACUUUUCAACACUCUCCUCCAACAAUGUUAUUAAAGAUGUUAUCCAUGUUGAAUGAUUUAAACACAAUCUUUUAUGCAUAAGUCAAUUUAAUGAUAAUGGGUAUUUAAUUACUUUUAAUAUCAAAGUUGCAUAAUUGAGCACAAUACUAAAAAGGAAAAUGAGUGGAAAAGGAGUUGACGAAUCAAUAAGUGAGAGGGACUAACUCCAAAAAAAAAUAUGACAAAGGGUCAAAUCCCAAAAAAGCAAAAUUGACAAAAUCUUUAAUCCUUUCAUCUUCUCAAACACUACUCUUAACAUUUUCUCCAUUAUCUUUGUCCAAAAUCUUUCAUAUUCAUACCUAACACCUCUUAAUCUUCAUCUAGAACUGAAAAUCCAUAAUCUAACAACCCAAAACCAUCAUCAACAUAAAAAUCAUAAAUUACCACAAAAGUUUACAACCAAAUAGACGAAAGAUUUAGAAAGAAAAAAAAAUUAACAACAAGAUAAAAUGAUUUGCUCUCUCAACCUUAAUAUUUGUUUGCAUUCAUCUUUAAGUUUAACAACAUUUUUCAAAGAAACUGCUUCAAAUGCCACAUUAAACCACAUUGAAGCACAAAAACCAUCUAAAUUUACAAACACGGUUCCUAUAGUGUAAUUCUUAUUAUAGCCAACAGAAACUUCAAUUUCUUCAUCCCAUUGGUUGGUCAUUUCUAAAAUAAUGGAAUCAAUUUAGAACCAAAUGUUGUAACUCUUCAUGGAAAUCUUUCAUAUACAUUGGAACAUUUGGCAAAGGGGUACUUAAUGAACCUUAGCCUUGAUUCAAGUGUAUAUGAUCAUAACCUUUGACAAAGGGAUGUUUAAUGAACCAUAACACUGAUUCAAGUCAAAUGGGUGUGUUCUCCCAUGUGAAGGCUCAUAUAAUGACAUAGAAAUAAUUAUUGGCAUUUGGGAAUUAUUUGGACAGAAAAAACAUGAAUUUUGUUACAAUAAUAACAUAAUUCUCUCUCAUUCUCUUACUCUAAAUCAUCAAUCAAUUCUCUAAUGCAUGAGUAAAUUGCUGAAACCAUAAACCUGUAAAAUACUGUUAGGAGAUACAUUUGGUGUGGUUGUGUAAUACACAUCAAGGAACUCAUAAUAUCUUGAAUGGGAUUCACUGAUCAUUCCCAUCACAUCCAAUAUACAGUUAUUGGUGGGGCGAAUCGUGUAACACCCCGUUUUCCCAACUUAUAAGUUUGAACAAUAAUCAGAGUAAAACGUCACAUAAACGGGAUAUCGCACUUCUUAAAAAUCUCAAAUAGAUAAAUAACAAUUUAUCUUUCAAAGUAAACUUCAACGUAAACGCAGCGGAAUUAAUUCGAAAACCAUAAAUUGUCUUGGCACGCAGGCUUCAUCAAAUCACAUCAUAACUUCAGUUCAACAACAGUAAUCAUAAUUUCAAAAGUUAAUACAUAAAGGAAUAGAAGCAUGCAAUCAAAGACCCCAUCCCGUUACGUAUCAGAGCAACCUAAGACUCAGUGAGGCAAGGCCACUCACGACAGCACUGAUACAAAAUUAGCAAGUGUACUAAAAAUAUAUCGAAGUAAUAAAAUUUAUAAGUUCAUAUCCACAGGGACUGUUUCAAUUUCUACUUGGAAAAAACGUUAAAAUAAAGGAUGUAUUAAAUUCAAGAGUUCCCUAGGCAGUUGAGUUGAUUUUUGUAACAUAAACGUAAUAAAAACAAUAAAAGUUGGUUUUUAGAAAAUUAGAGAAAGAACUAGGUCUUUUGAAUCAUCUAUUCAUCACUCAUUAGUAAUCUGCACCUAAAUCGUAUGACUGUUAUUCAGUUUACAACAAUUAACAAAAUAGCUCAGGUCAAUCCCUUGACUCAGAGCCCUCUUUUCUAAUUAUAAUUCCCUAAUUCCUUAGGUGAACCUAUAAUCAUCAAAGGUUUUAAGUCCGUUAAUUUUAUAAUCGCAACCUAACAACUUUCCAUCCCUAGAUUGUCCGUGAACAGCAUAAAUAAAUCUGAGUUAUAAGCUGGUGUCAGCAGUCCUAUAAUCUCUAAUAUCAAUUAUAUUGAGUCAGAAUCAUAAAAGCAUUACACACAAUUUAUACCGAAUAAACUAGAAUAACUUUCAUAAUAAUUCAGAGCUACAGAUUACUUGGUCAUGAGCUAGAACAGAAUCAUCUAUGACCUAAUCAAUGGAAAUUAGCCACUCAUAAUAAAAGAAUUUAAACAACAAGGUUAAAAGAAAUUACAAAGAGGUGUUUUGCUCAUCAGAAUUUCUUCUAUCCGUGGUGCAUACCGUCUUCUAUCUCUCUAUGCGUGCGUGCGUGCGUUUUGCUUUGGAAUCCAUUCUUUCCAUUCCAUGCUCUGUCCCCCAAAACCGUAAUGCAUAAAACGUGAAUCCUCAGGCGGUAUGUGGCUAGCUUCUUAUAUAUAUCAUUGUGACCUGGUUGCUAUUUUUAAUUCUUCUUCGGGUCACAUAAUCUUGGGUCAAAGCCCACUUGUUUUCUUAAUGCAAAUACUUGAAUUAUUUUCACCACUCAUUCAAUUAUUAUCACACUUUUGUUUUUCUUGGUUGGCCAAUAAACUUAUUUCCUUCCUUCAAGUGGCACUCUAAUUGACCAAUAGAACACUAGUAGACUUAAUAAAUUAAUAACAACAAUUUAUUUAAAAUGACUCUAAAUUAAAUAUUAAACUAAUGAAAAUAGACUAAGUAGUUAACUAAAAAGACUCCAAAUAAAGUGUAUGACUGACUGUCAUCAAACACAACAGCAACCUACUAUGGAUUACCUGCAAGUUACUCAUACGAAUAACAACAUUUCCAAGCAGAAGGGGUGAGAUUUCACAAAACAAUAAUAUUAAGCAUAUAAUUCAACAAUUAUAUUUAACAACAUAAAACAUCUUAUUAAUCAACACUGAUAAUAAUAUUUCACAAAUCACUUCAUAAUAAUUUCAACUCAAUCAUUUAAUCAUCAUCGACUCGACAAAUGUGACUAUGCAACUUAGACCUCUUAUAUGCAUGUGGUACCAAUACAGGGCAUAAAGCCCCCAUCGUUAUUUGAGUAUUAAUAUACUUCUAGGGCAUCAAGCCCCCAUCGCUAAUUUUGAGCUAAUGCUCCAACGCGGUGAGUACAAAAAUCCAGGGCAUCAAGCCCCCAACUAUGAAUGCUAAUGCAUGGACUCGACCUCUUAAAACAACUUAAUUCGACAACCUCUUAUAUUAGUCCAAUAAUUUGGAACAUCAACAUCUUAGACCGACUCAUGCAGCUUAGUUAAAUAACAAACAACAACAUGUGCAGUGUACAACAACAUGACAUAAUUAUAUCAAAUUCAAUUCAUCAGCAUCUUUUGUAUACAAACAUUCUUCAAGUAAUGCAUAAACUUUAUAACACUUCAUAAUCAGCAACAACAUAUCUUAUUCAUCUUCACAGAUUACGGUUAACCUCACUAUUAAGUCUUAAUCCUACCCAAGGGUCCGAUCCUCGACAACCCAUGCAACAAAGGUCGCAAAAUCUAACAAGUCACUAUGUUUCUGGGUCACUCACGAGGCGAGGGCCUCUGCUCGCCGUGGCGAGUUCAGGUUAGAAUCCCAUAAGUUUAAUUCCAGGUUCAAUCUCGUCCUACACUCUUCACUAAUCAAUAUUCGACAUGUUCAGGCACUCAAAGGCAUCUAAGGUUCAACUCAAAAAUCAAAUAUACGAAAUCUUACAUGCUCUCUGGUCAUGCUCGCUAUGACGAGUUCAUCUAUUCGCUGUGGCGAGGGAGAAUGGUUCGCUUGGAGAGCGAUGAACUUCAUCACUCGCGAGGUGGGGAUCAUCGUUCGCGAGGGCGAGCGAUGAAUGUAGGCUCGGGCAGAAGUGCAAUUUUUACGAAAAUUCAUCUUUUCACAUGGUUUUAAGCCUAACAUUGAUUCCAUAAUUCAUCCUACAUAUUAUCUAAGGUCUAGGAACAGUUUCUACAUCAAUCUAACAACUUUUCACCGUUUAAUCAUGAAUUCACUCAAUUUGACCUAAUUUCAAUUUUUCUUAAAACUCAUCCUAAUUCAUGCUAAAUAUAACCAUUGAUUCAUAGACUUAAUAAGAUUGCAAAGUUAGUCGCACCCUUACCUUGUUUUGCAUGUUUUCUUUGUAAGUUGCUCUCUGUACAUCAGUGGCAUAUGCAGGAAGCUCUUCAUACCCAUUAUGCACAAGAUCACUCACAUCUUGUGCGCCAAACAAGGAUCUCAUCAAGGCACUCCAUCAUUCCCAGUUCUUGCCAUUAAGAAUCAAAAUGUUUGAUCCAAAACCGUUAUUGUUCAUCUUCAUUAUUCUUCAAGAAACCAGAGAAAUUAGUGCACACACUUCACUCAGUGUUUUCCAAUGAUGAUUCCGCUCACUUUUCACUCGUGUUUCACUAUGGAUUUAACCCAAGCUCUCUAUACCAAUUGUUAGAACAAAAACUGUGUUCUAUGCAGCAAAAGUGCUUAUAGAAAUAAGCUGUUUUGGGCAAGAUGAGAAAAUAACAGAAAGUUGUAAAACUAAAGAGAAAAUAAUGGAGAGAAUAUAUUUGCAAUGUGAAUCUCAUUCAUCGUAUUAAGUUUCACAAUACAAAGCCUUAUAUAGGCACAAAAGAGUCACUUGCUUGUAGAGCAAGUAAUCUCACUAACUAUUAGAUUUUGAAACAAACUUAACUAACUAUUAGUUACAUGGCAGUUAUUGAUUAAGAUUCUAAUACUCCCCCUUAAUCAUAACUGCUGAACAUCAAAAAUACCUAGUUUCUUCCUCAAAAAUUCAAAUACGUGAAGUUUCACUGCUUUUGUAAAACCAUCUGCAAGCUUCACUGCUUUUGUAAAACCAUCUGCAAGCUACAGUUAUUGGUUAAUAUUCUAACAUCUUUCAUGAUUGGAAGAUUGAGGAAUUUCUUGAUUUCACAUCAUUGGAAGAGUCUCUCAUAGGGGAACCAGACAAAUAAUAGUGAGUUUUCAUCUUUGUGAAUCAAGGAGAUAAUGGUGUUUGUGUUGCCUUCAAACACCAUAAAGAAAACAAGAUCAUCGCGAAAAUUUAUAGGAAUAAAGUGAUUCAAGUCCUUCUACAACAAAUGCACUAGAGUGGACGAGGUCAAUAGGUAACUGGUGAAAUUGUAAUUGCAAUAUCAUUUUCAAUGCAUCGAAACCCAAAGAGGAAUGCAGGAAUUUGUUAGAUAGAAUGAACAGUCCAAAUUGAUGGAGCCGCGCUCUUGUGUGGUGAAGAACACAUGAUUUCCUUUGUCUAGACUUGGGUGGUGAGGAUCGUGAUUCAAUGGACCACCAUGUGUUUGGUCGACGAUUUGGGUUGGGGAAAGUCUGAAACAGUUAUAAACCAUUAAGAAGUUUGUAUAGAAUGCAUUAAACAUUUACAGUACUAUUAAAUUUUAUAUAGGCAUAAUUCAUCCACAUAAUUUGAUAACAGGAAAUCGACAUCAGAUAUUCGUUGAUUUCUCAUAGAUCCAUCUUAACUGUAGCAACUGUUAAGGGAAAUAUGGCUGUAUUGCUUCUAGAGGACAUUCUAAAAUUUAAGAAUUCUCAUUUUAUAAGCUUGAUGUUGAUGUAUAUUAGUUUGCUUGUAUACAGGGUCAUGGCUUCCCAAUUGAGAAUUAACAUUAGCGAACUCUCGUCCCUUCGAGGACGUCCGGAAAAAUUGGAACGAUACAGAGAAGAUUAGCAUGGCCCCUGAUAGAUAUUUUUAGCAAGUGCACUAAAUACUAUCGAAGUAGUAAAAAAUAUCGUUCCCACAAGGACUGUGUUAAUCUCAAUUUAGAAAUAAAGUAAAUAUUUAGGAUGUAUAAAUUAUUUUGUUUAGAUUUUAUUUGAUUGCAUAAAAUUAAAUAACAUAAAAUAAGAACAAUUCAAUUCUGUUUAAGUAGAAAGCUAUGGUCAGUAGUCAUUCAUUCUCACUAAAUCAUGUUUAUAUUUGAUCAGAAUAUAAAAAGCAUUAAGAACAAUUGAAUUGAAUAAAAACUAGAUUGUCAUUCACAAUAAAUAGAGUUUCACAGCAACAUGGUUCAAUUAGGGUUACAAAGAAUCAUCUCAGACCUGAUCUCUAAGAGAUUUAGCUACUCAUAAUUGAGUUUACAAAUAGCAUAAUCAAUAGUGGAACCAAAACAUACAUGAACUGAUAGAAGGUUGAAGAAAUCGCCCUCCUAGCCGUCUUUAGGUCUCAAAAUCGCACUUUGCUCUCUCCAAAUCGUAACCCAUUGUCUUUGGAAUAGACUUCAGCUUAAAUAGGCACAGAAUUUCGCCUAAAAUGGUGCCACGAUUUAAGUAAAUCGUGACACGAUUCUCCUUGAAUCGCAAAUCACUGAAUUAGGGUUUCCUCAUAUCGUGCCACGAUUAUGCCAUCGUGACACGAUUUCUUCAAUGUCGAAGCUUGAUUUUGGUCUUCUAAAAUCGUGUCACGUUUUUACCAAAUCGUGACACGAUUCUCUUCUUUGUAUUUUCUUCAGUUUUCUACUCUUUUGCUGCAUAAGUUGCCUUGUGAACUCCAAUUUGUGAUCAAACUACAUAUAAAAAGACUCUAAAAAUAGCGAAUGAUGGACUGUCAUCAGCCCCUGCGCAAGGAUGACACGAGAACAUUACCGACGUCUCAUAUUGAUAACAAAGUGACAUAGUUAGCAAGCCUAGGAUAGAUAAUUAGCUGUUUUAAAGAGCUUUUGAAUUUGUAAAAAUGUGCAUCAAAAUCUUCAUUUCUUCCUUGCUUAUUAUCAUUAACCAUUUUUUCUAAAACCUCUUACCAAUAAGAAAAUUGAGUUAUUUAAAACGGGCUUUCGCUUUUGUAUUGACUUGUGGAUUUAGUCCUUUUUAUUAAGGUUCCUCAUUUCAUUAAGAUUUCUUGUGGUCACUUUUUCCACUGAUGUGGCGUUUGCUUUUAAAGAUUCAUUUGACGCCAAAACUGCAUCUUAAAAAUCCUUUUUGAUUUUGUGCCUUAGCCUCUCAGCUAAUAGAACAACCUUGGCCUCUUGAAUACUUGAAAAGUAAUAUAAUUUUCUGUAAAUAGAUAUUAUUAUACCUUAUUUUAGCAAGUUUCAUAGAGUGAAAUGAUUAGGUGCGAAGCUAGUAGACCAGAGGUUUUUAUGCAGGCUUCAAACUAAUACUAUUAUAAUGAAUUUUCUUCCUGGCUUGAUAGCUCUCAGACGUAGGUGACAACUUGUGUCUUUUACUUUCUGUCUUUAUCUUUAGUUUGUUAUGUGUGUUGUCACGAUGUCUCGACAUCAUUCUUGACAUUACAAAUGUCUUGACAUCGUGUUAGACAUCUCUUUCUUGCGUUUCAGAAUUUCAAAAUUAUUGUUUGUUUUGGCUAAUGUAUAAGGUUUUCUUUGGGGGCUUGAUUAAUAAAAAGAAGUAUAAUAGGAGGAACUUCUAUGUAAGUUUCGUUGCCAUUUGGGAUUAAUUUUCAUGAUUAUAAGAAGGUUGGUGGUUAUAAUUUAGACAAAUAACUAGUGGAUCAUAAUUUGCUCAAAAACAAAAAACAACUAGUGGUGCAUAAUUUAAGACAAAAACAUUUGCAACGACAAGACCUUUCCGAGUACAUGUGCAUAACAAAAGACAUAGAUGAUCAUGAAGACCUUUCCAAAGAGAGAAAGAAAUACACGUCUUUUUUUUUGGUGUUUAUGCAAAGGACAUAUUUUUUAUACUCACUAGAAGUCAAGCUGACACUUUCCUCGAAAGAAAAAAAGUAGUCAAGUUGACACUUAAGCCAUCAAAAUUGAUUCAGUCAACACUUACUAAGGUUCUCAUUUCAUUAAGAUUUGUUGUGGUUACUCUUACCAAGUCAUUGAUCUAUAUGAUAGUAACCAAAUCUAGUACUUCCUCCGUCUCAUUUUAAGUGUCGUCUUUGCCAUAAAAACAGAAUGAAAUCGGAAAAUUUUUUAAACACCUAUCACCUGUACUCCCAUAAAAACCCCUUCAAAAAACUAUCAAACGGACCAAAAGUCAUAUUCAAACCGUCAUUCAGAUUCUUUCAAUGUAGAAGGGUUUUCUUAAUAAUUUAAUAGUAUUUUAUUUUAGUCAAACCUAAGUAAUUUUCUAGAACUUUCUAUUAUUAUAUUGUUUUGUUUUAUUUCGGUCUACGAGUUUGUUAUUUCUUUUGCUAUUUAAACAGAACAUUAUGUAGCUUAAAAGACACUUUUUGAUUCAAUAAAAUUAUUCGAGAUUUUCUCUCAAUUCUGGUGGAUUCCGGAAACCUUAUUUGAUAGGUUUGUCGCUUGCAACCUGUCUCUUUAUAUUUUAGGUUUAGUGUUUGCUAACCCUUGCUUCCGUAUUGCUUCAGUUGGUAUCAGAGCAGGUUUCUCCUGUUCGUUUCCUAACGUGAUCAGCCAUAGGAGAUCAACCGGUUACAAAAGGAGAAUUUGACAGUUUAAUUGCGACCGCCAAAGCUCUGUAUCAAAUGGCGACAUUGAUAACAACAACAACGGGGUUGACAACUAAGAUUGACAACCGCAACAACAACAACUGCAACUACAACCAACAACAGAAAUCCGAACAGGGGAGGACAACCAAUUCCAAUUAUUAGGGUUUAUAUGAUUACCACAUAAAGGCUGAUAUUCGAUUGUUUUACGGAACAAUGGAUGUAGAAAAAUUUUUGGAUUGGGAGAUUGAUGUUGACAGAUUUUUCGACGUCAUUGACGUCCCGGAAAGCAAGCAAGUUAAGAUGGUUGCGAACAGACUGAAAAGUAUCGCAGCUGUUUGGUGGGAUAGACUCAUUGUGCAUAGACAGAGACAAAGAAAAAACCCUAUUUCAACUUGGAGAAGGAUAAAACAGCUUAUGCUUAAAAGAUUUAACUCUCGGGAUAGAUUCUCUCUCUCACCGCUUGUAUCAAUUAAAAAUUUGGAGAGGAAGCAGCUCCCGUCGCCGCGGAUGUAUCAAACGUCGGUGAAGGGUGGUUAUGAUGAGAAUAUGAAGGAGAAGUUGAGUAAGGAUCUCGGAUAUGGUGGGAAAUUAUCGCAUGAUGCUGAUAUGGAAAAUAAGAAGGCGUUGACAAUAAAAAGAUCAAACUUCCUGUCAUGGAAGUAAUUGAUGUAUUAGUAGCAGAUAAAGAGAGUUCGACAAUAAAUGCCCAACCUGAUGUAUUUGGUACUGGUCAGCCUCAGCCUUUGCCACCAGUUGCUUCAAAAACCGUAAAGAAGUUACCUCUUAGUAAGAGGUAACUUCUUUACGGUUAGUGCAAUGACAUCAAUAAUAGAUGGCUUGAAGAAAUUGUAUGUGGAGCGAUUAAAACCAUUGGAAGUCACUUAUGAUUCAAUGAUUUUGUAUCCCCGCUACUAAAAUCAUCGGAUCUUCAAUAGCUAGCUGUUGUCGAAGAAACCACCGGAUCGAUAUGUUGUUAUAGUUAUCGACCAACAAUCUGAUUAUGUUAUUUUACAAAAAUUGUCACCACUCAUGGAUUGGUCAUCUAGUACCACGAUUGUAAAUCUAAAUUUCAUGCUUAGCCAAACACAUAUCAAAUCUAGUCUAAGUGUUUAAUGGUGUUACAAGGACAAGCGUCACAUGAAAGACAAACAAAAGCUCUCGCAAGUUGAAUUAUUGGUCGUUGAUGAAGCUGCUGCUAUUUCUUGUCUUCUACUAUUAAUGGUUAUGAAGGUAUUGGACGCUCUUUAUCAUUAAAACUUUUGCAUCAAUUGGAAGGUCAAAGCAAUGAUUCUGCCAAGACAACAGAGGGCACUGAUUCUGGUUUUAAGAAAAUUCAACUGAAUCAAUCCAUAAGAUAUGCUUCUGGGGAUCACAUUGACAACAGGCUUAGUAGAUUACCUCCAUGUAGUGAGUGUGAUCUAUACUAUGUCAAUCGGGAUACCCUAUUUUCUUAUCACAAAGAUAGUGAAUUAUUUUUUCAGCAAAUGAUGUCCUUAUAUGUCGCAUCACAUCACAAUAAUUCUAAACAGCUUUGUGUUGUAACAUUUGGAGACAACAGGGUCAUCAAGGCAUGGGAUGCAGUCACUGGUGCAAAGCAAUAUACUUUUGAGGGUCAUGAAGCGCCUAUAUAUUCUGUAUGCCCUCAUCACAAAGAAAGUAUUUAGUUCAUCUUUUGGACAACAACUGAUGGGAAAAUAAAGGCAUGGUUAUGAUAGAUAUUUAGCAAGUGUACUAAAAACUAUCGAAGUAAUACAAUUAAGUUCGUUUCCACGAGUACCGUGUUAAUCUCAAGUAAACAAUUGCAUUAUGAAAUAAGAUGAGUAAAGUUUAUUUUAGUGCCCGAGGCAAUAGGUAUGUGUGCAUAAAAAGUAAAUAACAUAAAAUAAAGUUGUUUAGAAAAGAUAGAGAGAGAUAUGAUUAGGUCUUUCGAAUCCUCUGAGGUCCCCUAAUUGGUACAAUGCACCUAUUUCUCAUGAAUAUUUCUAUAGUUUUACGAUGAUUAACUAAAAUAGCCCUAACCCUUGACUUAAGACUCUCUUCUCAGACUACAGUCCCUAAUUCCUUAGGUGAUCUAAUAUUCUUUGAAGGUUUUAAGAACGUUAACCUAAUAUCACAAAUAAACGAUUAUCCAAUCCUAGACUAAUUAACCCUGUUUAUUUGAACAUUUCAAUUAGGUCUAAGUGUGAAACCUAUGGUCAGUAGUCAUUCUCACGAAAUCAUGUUUAUAUUUGAUUAGCAUAUAGAAAGCAUUAAGAACAAUUAAAUUGAAUAAAACUAGAUUGAUAUUCACAAUAAUAGAGUUUCACAACAAUAUGAUUCAAUUAGGGUUACAUCAGAAUUUUCUCAGACCUAAUCUCUACGAGAUUUAGCUACACAUGGUGACUAAACAAGUUAUAAAAGAUAAACACAUACCCUAGAAAAUCAAGGAGAAGAUAGAUUCUCUCCUGAAGCUCCAAAGUAGCCUUCAUCUUGAACUGCUUCAGUUCUGAACCAGAAAUUCUGAAUGAGGAAUGCAAAUAUUUAUAGUGAGAGUUUCUACUUGGAUUUAGGUUAAAAGUGCGGGCUUUACCCAAAAUAAUAACAAGAAAAGACAAAUAUGCCCCGAGGUAUCAGAUGUGCUAGGAACAUUGUUCAUGUGUUAGGCGCAUGAGGUCUUUCUUGGGCCCAAUUCUCCGAUUUUCCGUCGUUUUAGGUUUUCGUCUUCAAAUAACUUGCCUCCAGACUAGGGAACAUAAUUUUUCCCUAUUGUAAGUCUUCUGAGGACUCGUGAAUCUUCAUUCUUGUCUUCCCAAGGUCUUGACAAUUCUUCAGUUUUUCUUGCUUUAAUUACUGUUUAAGCUUGCUUGUGAACUCCAAAUAUCAUAAAUUUACAUAAAAAAUUACGUAAUGACAAGAUGUCAUCAGGUUAUAUGAUAACAUGGGUUCUGGGGUUGAUUAUGAUGCAUUUGGCCAUUCAUCUACCACAUUGUCAGAUAGUGCUUCUUGCGGCACCAAUAAAGAAGGGGAGUCAUUUCUAGUGGAAUGGAAUGAAAGUGAAGGAGCUAUGAAGCAUACAUAUCAUGGUCUUAGGGAAGAGAUCUACAAGUGUAUGUUCAAUUUGAUACCACCAAGACACAUUUACUUGUUGUUUAUGAAACUCAAAUAGCCCAUAUGCGAUCCCCCAAAAUUGGAAUGCCUAAGGCAGUGGGUGCAUCGGGAAGCUAGUAGUCCAAUCCAAUCACACAUGUUACAUAUUCAUGCGAUAGUCAAUCAAUAUAUAUAAGCUUUGAAGAUGUUAGUUUGGAGAAAGAAAGUCGUGAUGAUAGAGUGUAUCAUGAAAAUUACUUCAAAUAUGUGAAUAUGUCUGAAUGUCACUGGCUGUUCUACACCGAAAAAUGAUUGAUAAGGGAAGUAUUUCUGUUCCAACAAUUCUACUUAAAUGGAAGACUUUACCUCCUAAGUACGGCACUUGGAAUUUUGCUGCUAAUGCUGAUGUGUUUGUGGUCAUAAGUGAUCAACCGGACAAGAUAAAAGAAUAUGAAGCUCAAGACGUAAAAUGCAAGGAAUUGACAUACACUAUACAGGAAAAGUCUCUAGAAGAUGAAGGCAUGGACUUUCAAGUUAAUUCAUGGUACUUGGAUAAUGCUAGUUGGAACCAAUCAUGGGAGUUUCCCUCGUGACAUUCUUAUUAUUUACCUGAGAUUUGUAAAAUGGAGGAUCUAGAAAUUAUUCGGCAAGCUACUGCAUUUCUUCAAUGGGAUCCAGGAGGGUGGUCUCUUGUUCAGAGGUGGAGGAGACUGAUGUAGGAGAGUUUUCUUAGUAAUUUAGUAGUAUUUUAUUUUAGCCAAAUCUUAGUAAUUUUCUAGAACUUUCUAGUAUUAUUUUGUUUUGUUUUAUUUCGGCCUACGGGUUUAUUAUUUCUUUUGCUAUUUAAAUACAACAAGGGUAUUUUUUACAUUUUCAUCAAAUCAUAAAAAACAAGGGUAUUUUUUACAUUUUCAUCAAAUCCUAAAAAGUUUAGCUUCUCUCUUCCUUCUUUCAUUCUUACGCAAAACGGUGUUUAUCUGCAAAAUGCAAAACGUAUCUUCUCUCUGCUUUUCUGCUGUUCUGUGAAACUUCUUCACCUCUGCUGUAAAUCUUCCUCUACUUUGUCGUGUUUGCUCUGUUAUCCUGUUAUUUUUUUGUUUAACAAUCUCAAACUCUGUCCUAUUACUUUUUUGUUCUAGUUUUCUUUGUAAUUAUUGAUUCCAAACCCCAUUCUACUCUCUUUGUUUCUGUUUGUAGUUUGUACAAACAAUCCUCUGUUUUGUUUAUAUAAAACUCUAUUCUGCUCUCUAUGAAAUAGCGGUCAUUGCGCUAUGCGUUAUCCCGCUAUAGCAUUUUUGGGGUCGCACGCUACGCGCUGCUAUCCGCUAUUAACUACUAUGAUUUACGGUACUAUUAAAUUUUAUAUAGGCAUAAUUCAUCCACAUAAUUUGAUAACAGGAAAUCGACAUCUGAUAUUCGUUGAUUUCUUAUAGAACCAUCUUAACUAUAGCAACUGUUAAGGGAAAUAUUGUUGUGUGGAUUCAAGAGGACAUUCUAAAAUUUAAGAAUUCUCAUUUUACAAGGUUGAUGUUGAUGGAAAAGGUUGAUGUUGAUUUUGUGCCAUAACCUCUCAGCUAAUAGAACAACCUUGGUCUCUUAAAUACUUGGAAAGUAAUAUAAUUUUUUUUAUAAAUAGAUAUUAUUGUACCAUAUUAAGCAAGUUGCAAAGAGGGAAAAGAUUAAUCUUAACAUAUAUACAGAAGUCAUAUACAUUUGUAAGCACGUUGAAUAAAUUAUCAUAUAGUUGACAUUGUCACCUUAAACUUGAAAUUUUACAAUACAAUUUGAAUGAAGUUUUAAUCUUUUUUUACAAAGUCAACAAUGAGCUGAGAGGCUAGCCCAGUGAUGUUAGUUGUUGCAGCUGCGUACACUAUAAUGAAAGAAUAUUUUAGUAAAGUUUGUAACCAAUGAUUCUUUUUAUUCUUUACUGCAUUCCCAACCAUAAUACCCUCUUGCACACCAUGCCUCUCAUCAUUUAUCUUCUUCACUAUAACUGCAUCAAAUACACUUGAAAGAAUGCUCGUAUAAUACUCAAAUUGUUCUUGUUCCGCAACCACGUUAACAUCGAGCCACAUGAAGACCAAAUCAAUUGCUUUAUUGAUCUUUUCCUUUUCUUUUGACGAAAGCAUCAAACUAAUGUCCUUAUCAUUUAUCGCAUUCCUCAUGUUGUAUGCAUACUUCUCUAAUACAUCUCUCGCUUCUAGCUUCUUCAUAUACCUCUUGUCUUCAUCUUUGUACUUCUCAGCUUCUUUGAUCAUCCUCUCAAUUUCCUCCUUUGACAAUCUUCCCUUAUCACUUAUUAUUUUAACCUUAUUAUUAACUCCAAGGAAUUUCUCCCUGCUACAGAUGUGUAAGAUGCCAUCGUCAUCGAUUUGGAAGCGGAUUAUGAUCUGAGGAACACCUGCCGCAGCAGGAGGAAUUUCCAACACAAAUCUUCCUAGCAAGUUGUUGUCCCUAGUUAUUUUCCUCUCACCUUCAUAAACAUCAAUUAGAAUAUUCAUUUGGUUGUGCAAAUGUGUGGUGAAUACAUGUUCCAUUUUGGCAGGAAUUUUGGUAUUCCUAGGGAUUAUUAUUUCCAUAAUCCCCCCAUGUUUCUCCAAUCCAAGGGACAAAGGAAUGACCUCCGACAAUAGUAAAUCUUGAACCUUCUCACUAAACUCACCACUCAAUAUAGAAGCAUGGACAGCAGCGCCAUAUGCCACCGCCUCAUCGACAUUGAUGCUUUUGCAUAAAAGCUUCCCCCCGAAGAAAUCACUCACCAUUUGUUGCACUUUUACAAUCCUAGUAGAGCCGCCAACAAGGACAACAUCAUGAAUGCUACUCUUGUCCAUCCCACUAUCAAUUAUACACUUUUCCACAAUCUCCAUGCACUUGUCGAAGUGAUUCUUGUUGAGUUCCUCAAACUUUGCGCGACUAAUCGAUGAGUAGAAAUCUAUACCUUGAUUUAAACUCCCUAUCUCAAUGGUGGUCGUAGUAUUGGAAGAAAGUAUCCUUUUUGCUUUCUCGCAAGCAGACUUCAACCUCCUAAGGGCUCUUGGAUCUCCACUAAUGUCGAUUUUAUACUUCCUCGAGAACUCUUUCACAAAAUGGUUCACCAUUGUAUUAUCAAAGUCUUGUCCCCCAAGGUGAGUGUCUCCUGCAAUCGCCUUAACAUUGAUAGCACCGUUCUCAAAUGUGAGAAUGGACACGUCCAGAGUACCACCACCUAAAUCAAAAAUGAAAACAUGUCUACAUCCAUGAUUAAAAGGUUUCAUGUCAAGACCAUAUGCAAUUGCAGCUGCAGAAGGCUCAUUGAUUAUUCGCAUAACAUUGAGGCCAGCAAUAACACCCGCAUCUCGAGUGGACUGGCGUUGUGAGUCAUUAAAGUAAGCAGGCACAGUUAUAACAACAUCCUUCACUGUUGAUCCAAGGUAAGCUUCAGCUAUCUCGGCCAUUUUUGCCAAUACCAUCGAUGAGAUUUCUUCAGCAGCAAAAUGCUUUUCCUCGUCAUUAUAGUUAACAACAAUCAUGGGUUUGUCAUUGAGGUCGCCAAUUACUUUGAAGGGCCACGACUUCAUAUCACUUUGUACGAUUGAGUCGCAAAACUUCCUACCAAUUAGCCUCUUUGCAUCUACAAAACAAACAAAAGAAUUGAGUACACUAUGAGAAAAAAUGAUGUACCAUUUUCAUUGCAUUUGAAUAAAUCUGUAUGUAUAAAUAGGAUAACUCUAAUAUAUCUUGAAUAUGAAAAAUUGUUAUAUAUUAAUUAUGAAUCAAAUUACACUGAUGUAACAUGUAUCGUUAUAUCACUAAAUAACUUUUUAUUGGAUAUUUUCAUUACAAAAUUCAUAGCUAGAUUAAAAAUUAUUUUGCAUAUAAUACAUCUAUAAAAUCAUUUGAUAUAUAAUAUACAGUUGAUUUAAAAUUAUUUCCAUAUCAAAUUCAGUUGGUUCCAAACCCAGCUUGCAUCCAAAAGAGUUAAUAUAUGUUUACCUCAUGUAAUAUUAGCGGUUUCUGAUUACACCCUAUAAAAAAAUUUGAUUCCAACUCUGUAAUUUGAAGAUUGUUUGGAUUUAGACUUUCAUGAAUUUUGACCGUACAAAAUCGAUAAAAUGACAUACAUAAACAAAAAUUCGUUCAAAAUACAGAGUGUGAAAGUACCUUAAAUAUUGAAAUUUGAUGUCAUAAAAUAAAACACUAAAGAAUCUUCAAAUAACAGAGUUGAAAUCUAAAAAAGAAACUUUACAGAAGUUAAACCGAAAACCGUUAAUAUUACAUAGGGUAAACAUAUAUUAACCCUAUCGAAAAUAAGAAUUUUAACUAAAAAUAUAAUAUACAUAGGAUAAGUUUCAUGCAUUAAAAUAUCAUAUAUAGUUUGCUCAUCAAACACUAAAAUCAAGGAAAAACAUGAUAGUUUAUCCUAUCAUGUAUCAGUUUAUUCUAAAUAAAAUCAAGAGUAAUUGAGUUUAGAAGCUUUUACCGAAAACAGUGUUGGUUGGGUUGGAUGCAGCCAUAUUGAAAGCAGAAUCACCAAUCAUUCUUUCAGAGUCAGUGAAGGCAACAUAAGAAGGUGUUGUUCUAUUCCCUUGGUCGUUCGGUAUGAUCUCUAUCCUAUCAUGCCUCCAUACAGCAACACAAGAAUAGGUUGUUCCUAGGUCGAUUCCUAUUGCAACUUUCUCACCUUUUACUGUCAUUUCUCUCUUGCAAGGUCACCCAGGUUUUGAGAACAAAUUGUUGUUUGUUUCGGCUAAUGUAUGUAUAAGGUUUUCUUUGAGGGCUUGGCUUAUAAAAAGAAGUACAAUAUGAACUUCUUUGUAAGUUUCGUUGCUGUUUCGGAUUAGUUUUCAUGAUUUUAAGGUUGGUGGUUAUAAUUUUCACAAAUAACUAGUGGAUAAUAAUUUGCUCAAAAACAAAACAACUAGUGGUGCAUAAUUUAAAACAACUAGAAGUCAAGCUGACACUUUCCUCGAAAGAAAAAAAAAAGUAGUCAAGUUGACACUAAAGCCAUCAAAAUUGAUUCAGUCAAAUUCUUAUAAACCGGAGUUUUGCUACUUGCAAGAGUGAAUAUUCUCCUUGGAUAGCAUAUUAAAUCCAUCUAUAUAGGCUGUAACCCUUAUUUGUAAAAUAAAAAGAAAAAAAAUUCAUUAGACGCCAAACUUGCAUUUCAAAAAUCCAUUUUGAUUUUGUGCCUUACCCUAAUAGAACAACCUUUCUUUCCCAUGGAAAAGGUUGGGAAUUCCGCCUUUAUUGCGAUAUGUCCCUAGUCGCUUAAAUGCGACAUUUGAGUUGUCUUGUGUUGGCUUUGAGGGGGUGGAUUUAGUCCCAUAUGGGUUGAAUUGGACUAAGUGUAUAGAAGAGGAGGCACUCCAUGCUUUACAAGCCGGUUUUGUCAAGAUGAGUUAGGCUACAAAUUUCUACGGUUCGCAAAUACUCCAGAGUCGGAAGAGCAUUUUUUUUGUAAAGUGUUUUCCCUAGUUAUUUUCCUCUCACCUUCAUAAACAUGAAUUAGAAUAUUCAUGUGGUUGUGCAAAUGUGUGGUGAAUACAUGUUCCAUUUUGGCAGGAAUUUUGGUAUUCCUAGGGAUUAUUGUGUUCAUAAUCCCCCCAUGAGUCUCCAAUCCAAGGGACAAAGGAAUGACCUCCGACAAUUGUAAAUCUUUCUCACUACACUCACCACUCAAUAUAGAAGCAUGGACAGCAGCGCCAUAUGCCACCGCCUCAUCGACAUUGAUGCUUUUGCAUAAAAGCUUCCCCCCGAAGAAAUCACUCACCAUUUGUUGCACUUUUACAAUCCUAGUAGAGCCACCAACAAGGACAACAUCAUGAAUGCUACUCUUGUCCAUCCCACUAUCAAUUAUACACUUUUCUACAAUCUCCAUGCACUUGUCGAAGUGAUUCUUGUUGAGUUCCUCAAACUUUGCGCGACUAAUCGAUGAGUAGAAAUCUAUACCUUGAUUUAAACUCUCUAUCUCAAUGGUGGUCGUAGUAUUGGAAGAAAUCUAUACCUUGAUUUAAACUCUCUAUCUCAAUUAUACACUUUUCUACAAUCUCCAUGCACUUGUCGAAGUCAUUCUUGUUGAGUUCCUCAAACUUUGCGCGACUAAUCGAUGAGUAGAAAUCUAAACCUUGAUUUAAACUCUCUAUCUCAAUGGUGGUCGUAGUAUUGGAAGAAAGUAUCCUUUUUGCUUUCUCGCAAGCAGACUUCUACCUCCUAAGGGCUCUUGGAUCUCCACUAAUGUCGAUUUUAUACUUCCUCGAGAACUCUUUCACAAAAUGGUUCACCAUUGUAUUAUCAAAGUCUUGUCCCCCAAGGUGAGUGUCUCCUGCAAUCGCCUUAACAUUGAUAGCACCAUUCUCAAAUGUGAGAAUGGACACAUCCAGAGUACCACCACCUAAAUAAAAAAUGAAAACAUUUCUACAUCCAUGAUUAAAAGGUUUCAUGUCAAGACCAUAUGCAAUUGCAGCUGCAGAAGGCUCAUUGAUUAUUCGCAAAACAUUGAGGCCAGCAAUAGCACCCGCAUCUCAAGUAGACUG
rnacentral:lncRNA from 1 species